rnacentral:lncRNA from 1 species
AGAGAUAACACCAUCAUGGUUUUGGACUUAUUAUAACUGACCUAACUUCGCCCAAUCUCUUUCUAAGCUAGAGAUAGUUCCUUUAUUUUGAGUGUAUAACAUCGAUGUGGUCGAGAGAUAGAAAGAAUUUAUUUCCCUAUAACCGACAAAUAUAUCUUCCAAUAAAAGGGCCUUUUUAGCUAUUACACUUCUAUAGAAAUCUUUAAUUAUCGGUUAAUGAUACCGAGGUUGUAUUGUUAACUCUAUGACCUUUUAUCUUUCUUGCGUUAUUGAACAGGCAUCUUUUUGCUCCCUAGACUCGUUACUUCCCUUUUUGAUCCCUUAAUUAAUUAAAAGGGUAAUCAAACUAUUACCUUUGUUAUUUGGAAUGUCUUCUUUAGAAAUAGCAUAAUGGAUACUGGCUGUUCGGCUUAUGCAUAUUGUUGUGCUUUCGGUGGAUGGCUAUCCAUAUAUUGCUUAUUUGUGCUCACUUCUGUGAGUAUCCGAAACUGUAAAUUCUAUCCUUUCACAAAUUUAUUCCCCAUAAUUUUCACUUAUGAACUUCCUUGAAACAUACAAAUAUCAAGUUCUUCUAAAUCUGAAGCAUUUGCCCUUUACAUCACUUAUAGUCCUUGCUUCAUUCUUUCCUUUUCUCCUAGUGAUUUCUUCGUAAGGACCUUUCUUGUAUAAUUGACAAGUGUGAGGUAAGGAGUAUAGGAAAAGCCCAGGGUAAGGGUAGCUGGUAAUUCUCUUGCCGUCCACCUUUUUCCGUGGCUUCCACGACGUCUUUCUCUGAUAAUGAUGCUUAUGUAUUACAUCUAAGGUACCUGACUGCUAUUGGGGAAUCCAUAUUAUGAGAGUAUCUUACUAGACUUUAAUGAAAGAACCUGAAGUAUGGAGAGGAGUGUCCACCCCCUCACGUUAAUGAGGAUACAUAGUUGUGGGAGGACUACCCUGGGUGUCCACUUUUUUCAAUGAAUUUUCCUUUUUAUUAGGAGACCACUAGAUGAUUUAUAUCACUAGUAAGAAGAAUGGAUGAAUCUACCUCUCAGGAGUUCCUCGAUUGGGAAACACAUUCUUUUGGGGAUGCAAAGGUGUCCCUCAUGCACUUUCUUCUUUUGAGAAGAGAAUCGAGCUGAAGGAUGUUCCUCUAGCUGAUCAGAGUAGAAAAAAAACUUUAACUAGUGCAUGCUUGGAUUUCUAGUUUUUUGGACUUUGUAAUGUACUAGUUUUGAAGGUUUCAUAUUAUGUAACUCUCUCCCAUUUUGGGAAGAAAUGAUCAUAAUAAUCAAACUUGUUUUCUUCUCAAUUUUACUUGAUGCCUUUUUAACAUUGACUUUUAUUUCUUUUGAAUAAUAUUUUGGCCGGGGAGGCCAUUUUUGGGAUAAUUGUCACACCUAAAUUAUCGAGUUAGGCCAACACUUUUAUUCCCCAAAGAUUCCAUCAUGCCAUCUUGCCCUAUUGGCAAUUUUUGAACCUUGGAAAGUUCUACAAAAUUUAUUUCUCUCAAGAUUAUACAUUAUUCUUAGCACAUCCCUCCCUGAACAUCCUCAAGGUCAAGACGGCUAGGAUGAUAUUUAUAUUAUUAAGCUAACUGAUCACAAUUCAAAUAUCUUUUUCAAGAUUUGUUAUUGAUAUCUUUUAUGAAGAGACUCACAUGAUAUAACUAAGCUUGUAUACCCUUUCCUACCCCUUUGAUUCAUGGAUCAAGGGAAGGGGGAGAAAGGAGCUUGUAAUAACCCUCAGGGUGAGUUUUUGCAUUUUCGCUCAUUUUCUCCAUUUAGAGCUUUUCUAUAGCUGCCUGUAGUCAUUUAUGACUUUCUAAGGUAGUUUGUUUGGUUUUUAGAGCCAAUUCUCUAUUUUGAAGCCUUCAUUGGUUCGAAUUAUCUACCGAGCAAAAAGUCAAACAACCUCAUAUGUCAAUUGUGAUAGUUCCAACAACUAUGAAAUAUUGAUUUUAGGCUAGACGAACCUUUGGUUAGAAUUCUAAGACUUAUGGACUCAUUCCAGGCUACUGGCUAGACCUUAAGAAACUAGUCCUUAGGGAUGGGACCCACUAUAUAUCAAAACAAAUUCGGAUGGAAAUUCAGAUUAUGCUAUUGAGUCUGAAACAUCGUAUUUGAUAGGGUAGCAUAGUUUGUUUAUGUAUACGUGACUAUAAAAAUUUUUGUAGGGGCUGGUGAAGACUUGAAAAAAUACCAAGUUUCCAACCGGUGACUCAGUUGGUGCAUUUGCUUAAGCGCUUUUUGGGUAGCAUAAGCGAAGGCCCGCUUAGCGAUCAGGCAUGCCACUGAGGUCCUCUUAAGAGAUUCCCUCACCACUUAUGCAAAGGCUGCUUAAAUGGCUAGAGGACCGCUUAAACGAUAGGCGUUCAGACAGUGAGUACCGUGAAAACGACACUUACCUAUUAAAGUGAUGAGCGCUUAAGCAUCUAGUCUCCACUUAUGUAAUACCUGGAGGGCCCUAAAUUCCCCUCUGCCAAUUUCUCUCCUAUUUUCACUGAAGUUCCAAAGUGAAAACACCUAUAAUGUAUGAAAACUUAGGAGAGACAUUAGUAGGUAAUUUUGGGGUGUUAGUAAGCUUGUAUUACAUAUUUUUUUCUCCAAUUUUUUGCUAAGUUUUCAUCAAUUCAUGGUUAAUUUUUCUAUUAUUUUUCAAAAAUCCUAGAAUAUUAUUAGGUUUAUUGUAGAACUAUUUGAGCUUAAAAAUUGACCAUUCUUGAGGUUAAUAUUUCUUGAGUACAGAGGGAAGUGAGAUUUUGCAAGCAGGCUCCACAUGAGAUUUUUACAUAAUUUUAAACUCUAAGAAAAAAUGCAAUUUAGGCAUUAUUGUUCUCGUAUUUAUGAUUAGAUUAUGAUUUUGGUAGUGUGGCAUCUCACGGAAGCUUCUUGAAAGGGGGAAUCAAUAGUUUAGAAGAUUUCACCAGGCUUUUUCUCGACAUCCAGGUAGGCUAGGUUCACCAUCCUCAUAGAUUGAGUUAAUUCAUCAUACAUUGAUGAUGUCAUGCGUGAUAUGGGUUGGGAAUUAGGUCUUGGAGGUAUGAUUAGUAUUAUUUGGAAUAUUUAGUAUAUUAAGGAACCAUAAAUAGGCAUAAUCGACUUAGUUGUGCAUGUUCUAAGUAGAAUUGCUAAUUUAGGAAUAAAAGUGGCUUAAUUAACAUCUACAGGAAAAUUUAGAUACCUUAUCCUAGUCCGGAGUAGAAAUUUUCCUAAGAACUAUUUUCAGGGAUUAGAAGUGAGCCCUUCUAUCUUACCUUAGGGCAAGACUCUUUUAAGCUCCUUGUAGAUUUUUAUAUGCAUGUUAUACCCUUUAAAUGCUUAUUUUUUUUAGGAGUUUGAGAAAAUUAGAUAUAUGAUACUUAUGCGAGUGUGUUUCUUGGGAGUUGGUGUCGAUUUCGAACCAAGUCCGAUGGUCUAUUGAUAUUGAUUUUUUUGUUCACGUCUUGCAAUUAAUGAUAUGAGUUCCGUUUUAUGUCCAGAAAAUGAUGAUAAUAUUAAGUUUCGGCUCGAGUCCUGCACUAAGAGUUUACUUAUGAUAUGGUAUGUUAUGGGUAGAUUCAUUGUUAUUCCUUGGGUUAUGGUUAAUUAAUGGAAUUUCGGUUAUUUACACACUGUUUGGAUGGUGGUUUCUCAUGGUAUUGUAUGGUACUAAGAGAAUCAUGUUUGUUUUGAUUGAUUCCUUAAAAUGUAUGGUAUGAUAUGAUUUAAUUUCAAGGUUUGAUAACCAUGAAAAUCCUUACUUUAUAUAAUCACUGAUUUGGUGGUACCCCAUUAUUUGCUUAUUUUUUUUUCAAUUAUGCCUUUAUUAAAUAUUAUACAAUCUUAUUUUACCCUUUAUCCUAUAUUAAUUAACUUCACUUCCUAUCCAUCCCCUCUCCAAGAUACGUCUGCCCCCCUCCGCAUCUAAAAAGAAAUUAUUUUUUAAAACAUUUUUUCUUAUCCCACCCCUACGGUGACCCCAACCCCACCCUUUACCAAACCCCUGGCCCAAUUUUUUGUUUUAAAUUAGUUUUUUUAAAAUUUUAAAAUUGUUUCUUACGCCACCUUCACUAGCACUCCCCCACCCCCACCACUUACCAGUCCCUCUCUUGAAUCAAUUCUUUAAUUUUUUAAAAAUAUUUUUUUGAUAAAAAAUUCAUAAUUUUUUUUACCCCACCCCCUUAUUCUAUUCUUUCUUAUUAUUUUGUGUAAAAUAUAUACAAAUAUUUUUAAAAAAUAUUUUUCUAUUUGUGUAACAAACACAAGAAAAUAAGUAAGAAACAAUUUGUUUUCCUAGAAUUUUUUUUAUAUUUCAUACCAAACACAUCCGUACAAUACAUAAAAGAUGCAUUCAAACUUUGUACUUGUCGCUGGUGGUCACAUUUCAAAACACCUAAAGGAAAUGAAAUUUGUUACUAUAAAAAACGAAUCCAAUUAUAUUUAUUUUGAUCUACUUUUGUAUUGAUUUUCUUAAAAUUUACACGAAUUUAACAACUUAAUAUAUUUACAUGGCAUAAUUUGUGAUAGAUUAACAUGAAGAAAAUUAUUUUAUUAACAAUUAUUGAUAAAUUUAAUAUUUAUAAUAAUUAAGGGCAUUUUCAUAAGCUUACAUGUUGCGAUCUAGUACCAUACUAUCAAACGAAACAAUGAAACAAUUAUUAUACAACACUGAACGAUACAACCAAUCCAAACAUUAUAUAAUACUCUACUGUAUAGUACAAUAUCAUACCAUACAGUACUGUAUAUUAUGAAACCAUGGCAAACCACCAUCCAAACAAAGUGUUAGUUUCCUUUGAUUGCACUCUCCGAGCUUAUAGGGCCAGUGUUGGGUUAUUUACUUUCCGCACUUACUAGCUUAUGGGGUCCAGUUUUGUAGUGAUACUAUACCUUUAUUUAUGUUAAAAUUAUUAUUUAGAUUCUUUAUUUACCUAUUUACUGUAUCAGAGCAUUAUUCCAGGGUUUUCCUUUUUCCUAGACUUAAUAUAUGUAUCUUUUAUCUUUAUUACUCUUAUAUUAUGAUAUAGAUCAAUCGGCCGAUGAUGUCUGUUGAGUACCCAUGGCUUUAGUACUCAUACUACACUCUUGUACCUUUUUAGGGAAGAUCCAAGUACUAGUGGUUGGCGCUGUUCUCAUGGUCGUGCUAUUUAGAGUUCGAAAGAAGGGUGAGCUCUCAGGGCUGGAGUUUCCUUUUUCUCUUUCUUCUACUUUAUUUAGUCUUUCUUUAUUCAAUUCUGAUGUAUAUUGACUAUUACAGUACUUAUAUUCUUGUACUAACACUACUAUGUUGUGUGAUGUUAUUUUAUCUUAUCUAUCUUUUAGACUAUUAUUAUUGCGUGAUUAAUUGGUUGUAAUUCUUUACUUACAAAUUUCCGUCUUUUAUGCCCUUUUCCUACGAAAUUAUCCAAUUACUGCUAGCUCCGUGCUAUGAUUUGACUUACCUACUUGUGGGGGUAAAGUAGGUGUCAUCAUGACUCAUAAAAUGGGUUGUUAUAAAUUAGUAUCAGAGUGACAGGUUUACUAGUAUUGUUGGUACAAGAGCAAGUGUCUAGUAAAGUCCUGCGAAUGGAAUGAUGACAUUCAUUUCUUAUCUUCGGGAGUCUAUAGGACAUUCUUAGGAGAUCUUCACUUAUUUCACUCAAUUUGUUCUAAGAGUAUGAGUUGGUUUCUCAAGAUUCCUUUGAUUUCACUCUUUUGUAGAUAGCUAAGACACCUACUUCCGCUAUACAAGACAAGGACCUCGAGUCCGUGACUAGUAUUAUGUCAUAGUUGUGGGUGACCUAGAGGUUGAGGACAACCUAGAGAUACAUCUCAAGCCAAGGACUAGGAUAGGGGGCCUUUACCAGACCCUAUUCCUUCUCUCAAGCCAUAGAUUCUUCUACCCCAGAAAGCAGUGAUCUAUGGACCAGCCCAGGCUCCAUCGAGGUUUAUUUAUUCUUUAGUUAUUAGGGAUGCAUUGGUUCAGCUCAUGAGAGUGGUUGGUGGUGUAUCGACUAAUAAUGCACAAUCUAUGGAUUAGAGUGGUACUGAGGUGGGGACGCAACCUAUAGCUGAAACUCCCAGAGUUAAGGUCCCUUCUAUAUCUACGGUUGCUUAUCCUACUAUGUCUUUUGAGAAGCAUAAGAUUCUAGGUAGAUUCUUAAGAUUGGCUCCACCUAGGUUGUCUAGUGUAUCGGGAAAGGAUUCUUAUGAGUUCUUGAUUUCUUAUGAGGAUAGACUUCGUAAUUUGGGCCCAGUUGAGACUCAUGGAUUACACUACUUUUCAGUUGGAUGUAGCUAGGCAUUGGUGGAGAGGUCAUCUUGAUUCCAGGCUAGCUGGAUCUCCCCUAUUGACAUGGACUCAGUUCUCUAAGGUCUUUUUGGAGAAGUAUCUGCCUCAAAGUCCUAGAGAUCAUUUGAGUAAUCAAUUCUUAAGGUUGGAGUAGGGAUCCAUGACUAUUGUAGAGUAUUAGUCUCAAGUUCAUGAGUUGGCUAUGCAUGCUUUAUCUAUCUUGAUCUUCGAGUAUGAGAUGGUUUAGUACUUUGUUCGAGGAUUAAACUUUGUCUUUGUAUGUCUAUUUAAGCUUUGUUAUUAUAGGUAGGUAUUUUGCUAAGGUUUUUUUUUUAUCAUGCUCAGCUUAUGGAUAAUAUACAUUACAAGGUCAAGGGAGAAGUGGUAAGAGGCUGUAAUAUCAAGAUAGUUUCAGUGAGAGCCAUAGUAGCUCAUGGUUCAGAGACAGUGGUUUUGUAAUGGCUCUUCAGGUCAUUUUCCAUAUUUAUGCUUAUCUUUACCAUUUGAGCUUCUCCAUAGCUUCCCAAAGUCAUUUAUAACUUUAUGGUACCUAUGGUUUGAUUACUGGGCAGUUUAUUUGUUUUUUAGAAUGAAUUUCCUAUUUAGAAGUCUUCGCUGGUGCCAAAUAGCCACCGGGAGAAAACUUUAGUAAAAUGAUCUCGGAUGCAAAUUCUGUUUGUGGCAGCAGAUUCAAAAUAUUGAUUUUAGUCUAGGUAGACCAUUGGUUUGGGUCCCAAUGCACAAGAGCUCAUUUCGACCUAUCGGUCGAAAAGUUGAAAAUCUAAAAGAAUAGGUGUGGCACCCAUAUUUGGUCGAAACAACCUCGUAUUGAAAAUCCAACUUCUCCAUCGCAUCCUGAAUAUUAAUUUUAGGCUAGGGGGAUUCUUGGUUCAGGUCCCAAGGCUCCCAGACUUAUUUUGCGCUAUUGAGCGGAUUUUUAAAAAAAUGAUGAAACUAUAGGUGUGAGCCCCACCUUUUUCCUAAAUGAUCUUAGAUGAAAUUUUUGAUGAUUCCAAUGUAUUUGGAAUGUGGUAACACUAAAAUGCCACUAUUGGAUCAUGUUCUUUGGAUUCCGGAUGAGCUUCGAGUGUCAAUAACUUAUUUUUGAUUUGUUAUUAUCUAGUGUAACUGUGAUUACGGUAGUGCAAUCCCGCUGCGUAGGACUGCGAUAGUGAUAUCUCACAAAUAUUUUUAAAAAAUAUUUUUCUAUUUGUGUAACAAACACAAGAAAAUAAGUAAGAAACAAUUUGUUUUCCUAGACUUUUUUUUAUAUUUCAUACCAAACACAUCCGUACAAUACAUAAAAGAUGCAUUCAAACUUUGUACUUGUCGCUGGUGGUCACAUUUCAAAACACCUAAAGGAAAUGAAAUUUGUUACUAUAAAAAACGAAUCCAAUUAUAUUUAUUUUGAUCUACUUUUGUAUUGAUUUUCUUAAAAUUUACACGAAUUUAACAACUUAAUAUAUUUACAUGGCAUAAUUUGUGAUAGAUUAACAUGAAGAAAAUUAUUUUAUUAACAAUUAUUGAUAAAUUUAAUAUUUAUAAUAAUUAAGGGCAUUUUCAUAAGCUUACAUGUUGCGAUCUAGUACCAUACUAUCAAACGAAACAAUGAAACAAUUAUUAUACAACACUGAACGAUACAACCAAUCCAAACAUUAUAUAAUACUCUACUGUAUAGUACAAUAUCAUACCAUACAGUACUGUAUAUUAUGAAACCAUGGCAAACCACCAUCCAAACAAAGUGUUAGUUUCCUUUGAUUGCACUCUCCGAGCUUAUAGGGCCAGUGUUGGGUUAUUUACUUUCCGCACUUACUAGCUUAUGGGGUCCAGUUUUGUAGUGAUACUAUACCUUUAUUUAUGUUAAAAUUAUUAUUUAGAUUCUUUAUUUACCUAUUUACUGUAUCAGAGCAUUAUUCCAGGGUUUUCCUUUUUCCUAGACUUAAUAUAUGUAUCUUUUAUCUUUAUUACUCUUAUAUUAUGAUAUAGAUCAAUCGGCCGAUGAUGUCUGUUGAGUACCCAUGGCUUUAGUACUCAUACUACACUCUUGUACCUUUUUAGGGAAGAUCCAAGUACUAGUGGUUGGCGCUGUUCUCAUGGUCGUGCUAUUUAGAGUUCGAAAGAAGGGUGAGCUCUCAGGGCUGGAGUUUCCUUUUUCUCUUUCUUCUACUUUAUUUAGUCUUUCUUUAUUCAAUUCUGAUGUAUAUUGACUAUUACAGUACUUAUAUUCUUGUACUAACACUACUAGGUUGUGGGAUGUUAUUUUAUCUUAUCUAUCUUUUAGACUAUUAUUAUUGCGUGAUUAAUUGGUUGUAAUUCUUUACUUACAAAUUUCCGUCUUUUAUGCCCUUUUCCUACGAAAUUAUCCAAUUACUGCUAGCUCCGUGCUAUGAUUUGACUUACCUACUUGUGGGGGUAAAGUAGGUGUCAUCAUGACUCAUAAAAUGGGUUGUUAUAAAUUAGUAUCAGAGUGACAGGUUUACUAGUAUUGUUGGUACAAGAGCAAGUGUCUAGUAAAGUCCUGCGAAUGGAAUGAUGACAUUCAUUUCUUAUCUUCGGGAGUCUAUAGGACAUUCUUAGGAGAUCUUCACUUAUUUCACUCAAUUUGUUCUAAGAGUAUGAGUUGGUUUCUCAAGAUUCCUUUGAUUUCACUCUUUUGUAGAUAGCUAAGACACCUACUUCCGCUAUACAAGACAAGGACCUCGAGUCCGUGACUAGUAUUAUGUCAUAGUUGUGGGUGACCUAGAGGUUGAGGACAACCUAGAGAUACAUCUCAAGCCAAGGACUAGGAUAGGGGGCCUUUACCAGACCCUAUUCCUUCUCUCAAGCCAUAGAUUCUUCUACCCCAGAAAGCAGUGAUCUAUGGACCAGCCCAGGCUCCAUCGAGGUUUAUUUAUUCUUUAGUUAUUAGGGAUGCAUUGGUUCAGCUCAUGAGAGUGGUUGGUGGUGUAUCGACUAAUAAUGCACAAUCUAUGGAUUAGAGUGGUACUGAGGUGGGGACGCAACCUAUAGCUGAAACUCCCAGAGUUAAGGUCCCUUCUAUAUCUACGGUUGCUUAUCCUACUAUGUCUUUUGAGAAGCAUAAGAUUCUAGGUAGAUUCUUAAGAUUGGCUCCACCUAGGUUGUCUAGUGUAUCGGGAAAGGAUUCUUAUGAGUUCUUGAUUUCUUAUGAGGAUAGACUUCGUAAUUUGGGCCCAGUUGAGACUCAUGGAUUACACUACUUUUCAGUUGGAUGUAGCUAGGCAUUGGUGGAGAGGUCAUCUUGAUUCCAGGCUAGCUGGAUCUCCCCUAUUGACAUGGACUCAGUUCUCUAAGGUCUUUUUGGAGAAGUAUCUGCCUCAAAGUCCUAGAGAUCAUUUGAGUAAUCAAUUCUUAAGGUUGGAGUAGGGAUCCAUGACUAUUGUAGAGUAUUAGUCUCAAGUUCAUGAGUUGGCUAUGCAUGCUUUAUCUAUCUUGAUCUUCGAGUAUGAGAUGGUUUAGUACUUUGUUCGAGGAUUAAACUUUGUCUUUGUAUGUCUAUUUAAGCUUUGUUAUUAUAGGUAGGUAUUUUGCUAAGGUUUUUUUUUUAUCAUGCUCAGCUUAUGGAUAAUAUACAUUACAAGGUCAAGGGAGAAGUGGUAAGAGGCUGUAAUAUCAAGAUAGUUUCAGUGAGAGCCAUAGUAGCUCAUGGUUCAGAGACAGUGGUUUUGUAAUGGCUCUUCAGGUCAUUUUCCAUAUUUAUGCUUAUCUUUACCAUUUGAGCUUCUCCAUAGCUUCCCAAAGUCAUUUAUAACUUUAUGGUACCUAUGGUUUGAUUACUGGGCAGUUUAUUUGUUUUUUAGAAUGAAUUUCCUAUUUAGAAGUCUUCGCUGGUGCCAAAUAGCCACCGGGAGAAAACUUUAGUAAAAUGAUCUCGGAUGCAAAUUCUGUUUGUGGCAGCAGAUUCAAAAUAUUGAUUUUAGUCUAGGUAGACCAUUGGUUUGGGUCCCAAUGCACAAGAGCUCAUUUCGACCUAUCGGUCGAAAAGUUGAAAAUCUAAAAGAAUAGGUGUGGCACCCAUAUUUGGUCGAAACAACCUCGUAUUGAAAAUCCAACUUCUCCAUCGCAUCCUGAAUAUUAAUUUUAGGCUAGGGGGAUUCUUGGUUCAGGUCCCAAGGCUCCCAGACUUAUUUUGCGCUAUUGAGCGGAUUUUUAAAAAAAUGAUGAAACUAUAGGUGUGAGCCCCACCUUUUUCCUAAAUGAUCUUAGAUGAAAUUUUUGAUGAUUCCAAUGUAUUUGGAAUGUGGUAACACUAAAAUGCCACUAUUGGAUCAUGUUCUUUGGAUUCCGGAUGAGCUUCGAGUGUCAAUAACUUAUUUUUGAUUUGUUAUUAUCUAGUGUAACUGUGAUUACGGUAGUGCAAUCCCGCUGCGUAGGACUGCGAUAGUGAUAUCUCCUUACCUAUAGGGUCUAUAUAAAGACCCUAAGAUGCAUUUGGGGCAUUUCCCCUUCAUCAUUUAUGCCUAGUAACCCCAAAAUGAGUGUAAUAACUCAAAAUUGGUCAUGGUGGGUGACUUAGGAGCUUGACUAUCAUCUUUCAUCUUGAUUAUCUUCACAUGUAAGUUAAGAAUCCUUUGAAUUCAUGCUUGAAUUUCCUUGUUUGGACCCAAAACUCCAAUUUAGCUUAAGGCUUGAUUUUAGCCCAAAGUAUGCUUAAUUUUCACCUAUUUUUUGAGGGUUAUGAUUCACUGUUCAUGUGUGAACAUUGGGUUGGCCUCAAAAAUUUAUUUUUCAUAUGUGGGACCCAAUUAGGGUUUUAGUGUCAUUUUUGGACCCGAGUCACAAUAGUGCAAUAUGGGUUUCAUUAGACUCGUAUUGAUGAUUAAAAUAUGGUUUUAAUAGUAAGAUGGCAUUUUGAGGACUGUAAAUUGAAGACGAGCAUGUGGUGCAUGAAGUGAGGUUUUGUGGUUUGGCCUUGAGGUAGGAUUCUAUCUGUUUUUCUCCAUAGAUGACGUAAGAAAUAUGUUGCAUAUAGAUAUAGAUGUUACGAUUAAUUAUGAUUAGGAUGGCUUGGCCUCGAUUCUUGAUGUUUGGAGUUUUGAUGAGGGCUUGGGACCCGUAAAAUGGCAUGCUUAUACCCCUUUUGAGCCCUAUUGCUUUCUCUCUCUAGUUUAGAUUAGUUGUAGCAUGGUUAUGAUGUAAACUUAUAUUUGGGGUGUGGAUUUAGCAUUUAAAACAUGAUUUAUAUAUUUGACCUUAUUAGGCUAGUGUGGUAUUCUUAAAAUCAUAAGUUGGGUAGAGUAGAUUUGAGUACCUUUGUUUCCAGUUGAAGUUUCUAUCUUAGGCUUGAAUGUGUCUUAUUUGACAUCUAUAAUCUGGACUAGAUACUUUAGCCUAGUUUGGGGCAUGGUGUGCCUAAUUAUGGAAAUUGAGGAUUAGAAGUGGGAUCGUCCGGCCCACUUAGGACUAAACUUGUGUUAAUACUUGUGGACUUAGUUACGGAUGUUAGACGUAGAUGAGGCUAGUAAACCUUAUAAUAAGGUUACUUCAUGACUUGGUAACUUUUAUUGAUGUUCCUGGAUUGUGGCUUUUGAGUUAUAGUUAUGAUACUUCUUGUAGAAGUGAUAUUGGGUAUAUAGAGAUAUUAUUUCCACUUAGACUUGAUGAUUGGCCUAUAGAGAUGUUAUUUCCUCUUAGACUUGAUGAUUGGCCUAUAUAGAUGUUAUUUCCUCAUAGAGUUGAUGAUUUGCCUAUAGAGAUGUUAUUUUCUCUUAGACUUAAUGGUUGGCUGUAACAACCCUCCCGGUCAUUUGUCAAGUUUUCUCACAUUCUCUAAUUUAGCGCUCUAAGUAGUUUGUAUACGUGGAUUAUGACUCAUAGGAUGAGUAGUACCAAUUUGUGAGGUGUUCGAAAGUUAUUGAGUCAUUAGUUGAAUUAUUGAGUUUUAACAAAGUUAAACCCAAUCAUGGUCAAUUUUUGAUUGAGAUAACCUCGGGUUAGUAUCGUAGUAUUUUUAAUAGGUUCGGAAUGUACUUUUUAGUCAAUGUACAUAUUUGGUUUGGUUCUAUGGGGUUACGAACAAAUUUUAAGAAUUUAGUAAAAGUUUUGGGUAUUAGGUAAUUAAUUUAUUACAAGUUGUGGGUCAAAACUAUAACUAUUUUGUUCUCAUACAACCCACAUCAUUAAAGUCAGUAGGUUUAACUUUGAACUGUAGCAGAAGUUGAAACAAGAAGGGUUUACACAUGGUUGAGUUAAGAAAAAGAGGUUCUCGACAACUUUGAGGUUAGUUUAAUUUAAGUUAAUUUAUAUGCAAUAAACAAUAACAUGUAAUUAACGUGUAAAGACGUCAUAGGUUUCUGUUUCUUGUAAGGAAUUAGCAAGAUACCUUCACUAUAAUGAUGACAGUAAUCAUUACUUAAAAAGCAUUAUAAUGUAAAGAAAAAGAAGAGCAAUUCUUAGCCAAAUCACUGGUCAAUAUUGAGGAGACAAUAAUGAUAACGAAUUGCAGUAUAUAUAGUUACACAUACUGGUUUUCAUUGCUUCUUGGGUUAGAUCUGAGGGUUUCCUAAAAUAUUAUCAACCACAUAUGAUUUGUAUUGUUUUAUUAAUUUGGUUGUAAGUUUUGGGGUUUUAGAGAAUUUUUUUUAUAAAAUGGAUGUCAUUAGAUUCUUAUUUUUGUGGGGAUUAUAUAUUGGAAUAGAUUUUGAAUGUUUUGAAACUUUAAGAAAGGGAAAGGCGCUUGUGGACUAGCUAUAUUUGGAUUCAUUAGUUAGAGGUAGGUUACGGUUUAAUUGGAGUUUAGAUUUGACUUAAUUGUGUGUAUGCUCCUAAAUUGGAUGCUUAUUGAUUUGUAUUCAGACAUGCUUGAAAUUGUUGAUGUUUGGAUUGUUGAUUCGUGUAUAAAUUUUAUUUGUAAAUUUACUUGAUGGAAUUGUCUUAGGACUUUAAGUGUACUUGUAAACUUGGUACAUUGUGUUGUAUGUUGUGAGGUUGUCUAAAUUGAUAUUGAUAAUACUUAUUUAUAUUUAUGUUGGAUUAGGUACCACGUCGGUAUGGAUAUGUUUAUGUUGGAUCGGGUACCACACCAGUACGGAUAUAUCUAUGUUGGAUCGGGUACCACACCAGUAUGUAUAUGUUUAUGUUAGAUUGGGUAUCACACUAGUAUGGAUAUGUUUAUGUUGGAUUGGGUACCACAUCGGUACGGAUAUGUUUAUGUUGGAUCAGGUACCACGCUGGUACAGAUAUGUUUAUGCUGGAUUGAGUACCACGACAGUAUGGAUAUGUAUAUGUUGGAUCGGGUACCACGCUGUAUAGAUAUAUUUAUGUUGGAUCGGGUACCACUCUGGUACAGAUAUGUAUAUGUUGGAUCGGGUACCACGCCGGCACGGAUAUGUAUAUGUUAGAUCGGGUACCACACCGGUCUGGUACAUGAACAUAGAUUGUUCCUUGUAAGUCAUGACUAUUUGGGCAAAAAUAAGUUCCAUAGCACUUGUGUACAUACUUGUUUUAAUUCUGUGGAUGUUUACAGUAUAGUUGAUACUCUUGAUAGUUAUGUAGCUUAUUUGUGAGCACUAUUAGCCUGUUGUUGUUGUAUUGUUGAUUCAUAAUGAAUUUGUUAUGUGAUGAUUCCUAUCUACUUGUUGUUUGGUUUAGGUUGUGUACAUGUUAUUAAGUUGAUUUGGCCUAUGAUACCUACCAGUACAUAGUGGUUUGUACUGAUAUUACCUUGUACUCUUCUUUUGUUGAGUGCAGAAAGUAUUCCAGAGGCUCAGACAUGACCUCACCUCUAGAGUUUGAUAGCGGAUCUUGAUCCGAGGGUUAAUGCUUCAUCUUCAGGCUACCACGGGUCAUCUUAUUUUGUUAUUGUCCAUCUUUCAAGCAAUGAAUCAUUCCUUAUUUACUAUAUUUUGGAUAUCUCUUUAGACAUGAUUUUUAUUAGUAGCUCUUGUACGAUGACUUUUGAGUCUUAGGGAUUUUAGUAAGUAUUUUGUUUAACUUAUGCAUUAAUAAUGAUUAGUCCUAGAUUAUUGCCAUUAUGUUAAUUUUACGAUAAUUUCAUCUCAGUAUUGACUAGGUGAUUAGGUAAUAGUUUGAUUUAGAUGGUCCUUCCAUAGAAAUAUUAGUGUGGGUGCCACUCAUGGCCAUUUGGGUCAUGACAUUGGCCUAUAGAGUUGCUAUUUACUCUUAGACUUGAUGAUUGGCCUAUAGAGUUGCUAUUUCAUUUAGUUAUGAUUGUUGGACCUAUAAAGACGAGGUUCCUUUUCGAUAAGUUAAUUGUCCUAGAGAGGUGAUAUUCCUCAUAGUCAUUAUGUUUGAACUUUUGAUAUAAGAUAUCCUAUAGAUGAUUACAUGUCCAUCUAUAUUAUGCCUUUUAUAUGUGAGAUGCUCCUAUAUGUGAGAUGGUUAGAGAUAUGCUAUGACUUAUAAAUAUGAUUCUUGAUUUGAGUUUUUUAUAUGUAUGCAGGCCUAAGGCCAUGAUUAUGAUAUUGCAAUUAUUCUGAAUAUGUAAUUGGACCAAGGGCCCUACCAUGGUAAUGAUUGGAUAUCUAAGAAGUGUUUGUCAUUGUAAAGGAUACUAUUACAGUUUAUGGAUUCAUAUAUAUGUUUGUAUACACAUCUCGCUGGUAUGGGAUGAAAGAAGAUACAGUAUGUUGCUUACGACUUUAUUGAUUGGAUACUGGUGAUGGCAUGCAUAGAUUUGGUAUAUCCCUGAUUAUUAUAUCGAUAACUUAUGUUACUCUAGAUGAAAUAUGAUCUUAUGAUUGUUCUACCUAAAUAACGGUUAAGCUAUGAGGUGGCUAGUUGUCCAUUAGAUAACUAUAGCACUUGGUGGCUAGUUAAUCUAAGUAUUAGUUAAUGUAUCUUGCUUAGUAUAAAUAUGUGGUAGCUAGCGAUGGUUAAUGUGUGACUUAUAGUGAAGUCUGUUCUAGCAUAAUUGAAGAUUAGCUGAUAUUGUUCCCUAAGUUUGUGAUGUCGAUUAGUCGAUAGCUGAGGAGUUGUGUAUUAAUGAGGCUAGAUAAUAAGAUAUGUUGGUAAUAAGAGGUGACUAGUUAAUAAUGAUGAAUAGUUGCUAAAUGGUUAAAUGAAUAGUUAAUCAAGGAUUAGUGGUAAAUGAUGGUUAGUUAAUGAAUGGUGUUAGUUAAUAAAAGGCAGUUAUGUGAUGGUAGUAAUGUGUUGUCUAAUUGUGAUUAAUGGGUAUAGGAUGAUUAGUUGAUAAUGAUGAAUAGUGGAUAAAUGGUACGAUUCGGUCUAGUGAUGAACCUUGACUAGAUGUUAGAUGUUGUCUCUUUAGUAAAUAGUGGUUAAUUGCUAUCCCAUGAAUAUGGAUAGUGUUUAGGUUAAUAACUAGAAGUCAUGUGACGAAGAGUGAACUAUUGGUUUCUUCAUAAUAAGCGUUAGUUAACUAAUAGCGAGUAGUUGCAAAAUAUUGGCUAGAUAUAUAUUCUAUGAGGAUAUGACUAUGUUUAUGAGUAUUUUUAGUGUAUGUUAUUCGGUAAUGCUUUUUGUGAUGAUAUUGAUAUACGACAAGUCUAUAGGAUACUAUUAUGAUAAUAUUGAUACCCUGCAAGGCCGAAGGAUACUAUUACAAUGAUAUUGAUACCUGGCAAGACCGGAGGAUACAAUUAUGAUGAUAUUGAUACCCAACAAGGCCGGUGGAUACUAUUGUGAUGAUGUUGAUACCCGGCUAGGCCGGAGGAUACUAUUGUGAUGAUGUUGAUUCCCGAUAAGGCCGAAGGAUAUAUUGAUGCCUAACAAGGCUGGAGGUUGAUGACAAUGAUGAUGGUCCUAAUAAGGAUAGUUAUGAUAAGUUGUAAUAUUUAUUGUGUACUUUGCAUUUAUUAAUGGAUGUGCAUCGCCUAUCACCAGUAUGCACCUAUAUUUAUCAGCCAGUAUGGGACGGUUGCAUAGAUAUGGGUGAAGAAUAUGCCUUGUGCUAUUGUAUGCUGAUUGUACCUUCCAAGUCUGGGGCGGUGGGGGUACGUAUAUGCUCUGCUAUUUAUUAGGUUGUCUGGGGUAGCCAAUUAUUUAUGAUGUUAUUGGUAUUGAUAUUAUCAUUAUUAUGAUCAUUAUUAUGGCUAGCUUAUGAUAGAUUGGUCAUUGAUCCAGUAUUGAGAUUGAGGUGUGUCUUCGGCCUCUUCUAUCUUAUGAUCGCAUUAAUUCAUGUCUAGCUGUGAGGAUUAAAAAAACUUGAAUAUGAUAGUAUUUAAAUCCUAAUAGUAUUAUAAUGAGGUCUUAGAAUGAAGAUAUGAUUAUAUAGGUUAUUCUUUGAGAUGACCUCAUGUUUAUAUAUGUAUAUAUAUAUAUAGCUAUAUGAAGCUAUGGUACUAUCGUAUAUUUUCCUUUCUUUGUUCAUAUUGUAUAGUCAUUUCUUCACCUUGUAUAUUACUAUAUAUCUUUAUUUCUCCCUUUAUUCAUAUGUUGGCCUAGGAUAGACAAUAUAGUAUUGUCGUAGAUUGAAUGCAGCUGGAAUAGGAUAAUUCACCUUAAUACUUCCUUAGUCUUGUUAUGUUAAACUUUUGGACAUGAAUAGGAUAGUUUUCCUUUAUUAUUCUCAUUGAUUUGUUAUAUGAUUUUUGGACUCUUGGGUGUAGAUUUUAUUCUGUUUAUAUUCUUUGUACAUCUGCUUUAUCUUUGGAGCUCAGUUGGCAGAUGCCUAUUGAGUACCAAUCAUUUGGUACUCAUACUACACUUCUGCAGCCUGCAGAUCAUAGAACGGGUUAUCUUCGUUGAUGUGUACAUUAUGUGGAGCAGCCUGGUUUGAAGACUUAAAGUGAACUCCUGACGUUUGGAGUAUUACUUAUCUCUCUCUUAUGUAUUAGACUAGUCUCUAAGUUUUAUUCAGAGAUAAGUUCUAUCAGUGUAUUUCUCCUUGAUAUAUCACUUUUGUACUCUUAUUAUGUUUAGAAUCUCUUGUACUAAUACCAAUAGGUUUUGGGAUUCUUCUAUUUAUUGAUCUUCAUUUCAUAUAUUCUACAUUCUUUUCCUUAUAUUAUGGAGUAGUUCGUUACUAAACACUCUGGACUACAAGUUGCCUUGCUUACUGGUGGGUUAUGGUAGGCAUCAUCAUUACCUGAGAAGUUGGGUCAUGACAGGUUCUUAGGGUAGGUACCCUUUGCGUUAAUUGUAUCAAUACCAAGGUCAGUCUAGUAGUCCUAUUAAUGUCAUAUAUCAGAUUAUCGAUGGAGGCCAGUCUAGUUAUAGUGAUCAUCCUGGCCAGAGUAGGGGUCAGCCUCUGAGGGGUUCAUCUUCUGGUUAUUCUAGCCAUGGUGGUUAUUCCGGGUCAACCAAAUCUUAUAGUUUUGGUACAGUGCCAAGGGCAUGUUAUGGUUGUGAGACCUUUGACCAAUUCUCAAGAAAGUGUUGUAGUAGUAGAGUGAUGGUUCCUUCUGCUUAGAGUGUUCCACUGAUUAAGGCAUUCCACCCCCAGCUAGAAGUGGUAUGCAUGGUUGAUGGGGUGGUCCUCAGGGUGCUCAUGGAGAUCUUUAGGCAGGUAGGACAGGAGAUUAGUUAAGAUCCAAUACAGGUGGUGGGCAUGGUUAGUUGUAUGUCGUACCUGAUAGACCCAAGGCUAAGUGUUCGGAUGCUAUUAUUAUAGGUACAAUUUCGAUGUUCCAAUAGACAACUUUUCCUUUAUUUGAUCCAGGAUCCAUUUAUUCUUAUGUGUCUUCUUAUUACGCCCCGAAGAUAGAGUAGUCUUGGGAUUCUUUAUUUGUGAUGCUAUGUGUAUCUACUCUCGUGGGUGAUUCUGUAGUAGUGGAUCAGGUUUAUAGAUCAUGUGUUGUGACUAUUCAAGAGUUUGAUUUUCACGACUCGAGGCUACCCCCUAGUCAUAACAUGGUGCUUGAAUUAUAUAUCAUGACUCUGACUGACUAUCUAUGAAGCCUUUACUAUACUGACUGUAGAUAGCUGGGACAUUCUGCCAACUACCACUAAUCAAUACAUAUGGAUAAUCAAAAUACAAUAUAUGAACUGCAAUGGGCUGGUGUCCCUGAAAUAAGAGGACUUAUCACCUAUUGGCUGAAAGCUGAGAACUACCUGACCCUAGUGUGUGGAUUACAUCUGGUACCUACAUUAUGAAAGAAUGUAGCCACAAAGGCAUAUAUGUGAUCAGUAUUUUGGAAUGUACUAAGUAUAUGGGGACAUGUACUAAAUCAUGAGAAUAUUUAAAUCAUUCUUUAAGAUUGAGGACAUAAGUUAUUUACUAAUACAUACAUUUAAUACAUGGCUAUACAUAAAAACUCUAAGUCAUAGUGAGAUUUAUAAAUUAUGAGCCAAAAACGAUUCUCUAAGCUGGGAAGCGGUAGAAACAUUAAUACUGUAUGUAAAUCUUAUGUAAAGCUAAACAUUCUGUAAAAUUGAACUGAAGAUCAUGUAUGGAUACUGAGCAUGGAAGCAUUAAUAUGUAAGAUGAAUGCAAGACCGAGUAAAACAUGUCCUGAAAUGAUCUGUAAAACUGACUGAUUAAAUAACUGAAAAUUUGAUUAAUUGGUCAAACAAAACUAAACUUUAUAGACUGAUUAUUGACUACAAUUGUGGGAGGAAUCACAUAACCGACAUGCCCUGAUCUGAGCAAUCAUGGUCCAACCUAUACCCAGUUGGAAGGGCGUCUGUACCUUGCCACGGGUACUAACACAUGGCUGCGUGGAUCCACUAAUCAUGAGUUUCGAAGGACUAGGGUUCAAGCUUAAACUGAUGGGUGACCCCUCAUGUCCUACGCUGGCUACGUAGUUCUAGAACUUAGGGACUGAUACUAGCGACUCUACCUAAAAUGACGGGGAAGUCGUCAUCCCUGUGUUCACUCGGUACUAAAUCCUACCCCCAACUAAACCGAAAUUGGUAUUAUUAUUAGCCUAACAUGAUGUGGUAUUGUACUUGCAAGUGCUCAGCAUGAACAUUAUAUUCUGAUUGUAGUAUUAAAAUCAUGGUCUGACUGACUUGUAACUUGAAAAUAACGGCAUGUAGAAGCAAAUAGGUAUCGGGUAUUCAUAAUCCGCCAGCAUAAAUGAUUACAAAAUUCUAUAACAACACCUAAAAUGAUGACAUAAAGUCAUGAUUCAAAGACCAAAAACAUAAGACAUUUCAAUGAAUGAGGGAGAUAUAAGAAUUUGAACACGGGGAUGCAUAAAACUUAAGAGGAUACCAAUUCCACAUGAUUUAGUUCAUAACUUGAUGAUUUAACAUGAAAUCAAUGGGAUAUGACAUGGAAUUUGAAAUUUAAAACAUGAAAUAGCUUAAAUCACAUGGGAAACACAUGUUGACAUGGCUUGAAUUCAACUACUAAGAAAUUCAUAAGUUGCAUGGAUAAUUUCAUAAAAUUGAAUAAAAUUCAUACUUCUAAACCAAAAGAAGGUUUUUGGGCUCAAUGGGUGGAAGAAACCCAUCGAUGAAUACCCCAUAUAACUUACUUGGAUGAAUUCUUGAAGGAAACUUGAAAUUGGAACUUGAGUUCUUAAAUCCUUGGGGAAGAAAGCUUGAAUUUCUUGUUCUUGGGAAGAGGGGAAUGGUUUACAUAAGUGUUAACUGGUGAAAAGUCAGAAAAUAAUGCCCUUUUGGGGAUUUAAUUUGUCACUUGGGUGCUUGGGGGUAAGAGGGAUGACCAAAAUGCCCCUUGUUCUUGUAUUUACUAAUGUAAGAUUCAUAUACUCUACAUCACGGAGGCUAACGCAGAGCCUAAGGUCCGUGUCGUGGAGCUAUCGUGAACUCUUACUGUUUCUCACGAAAAUUCUCAUAACUUUUUGCUCAAGUAUGGGAUUAAGGAAAAAUCAGAUGCGUUGGAAAGAGGACUCAAUUAUCUAUAAUUUUUGGAUCUUAAGCUAAAAUAUUCCAUAUAUUUCAAAAGUUAUACACAUUCAAAUUUUACCCUUUCAUGAUCGAGUACCAAAAUUUGGCCAAAUCAAGAGCUCUUAGCUCAAUUUUACUCUAAGUGUUUCCUAUGAACAUUUUCACCUUGAUAUCACUUCACACACUAGGAUAAUGAUCUUGACACAUAUAUUUACAUAUGAAUCAUGGGAUUAUAUUUUAUACACGUAGAAACAACGGUUUGAAUUCUAGUCUAAAAAUGCUGGGUGUUAUAUUGAUACUCAAGUUGAUCUCAUUGUAUUAGAUAUGGUGGAUUUUGAUGUGAUUCUUGGCAUGGACUGGAUAUCCCACCAUCAUGUGGUCUUGGAUUAUUUUCCAAAGACUGUUACCUUUUCUAUGCCCGACAUACCCCCAAUUGUGUGGUAGGGAUCUAUUAGCCACGAGCUGAUGGGUAUUAUUUUUUAUAUUUGGGCUAGAAGGCCUAUUUUGAGGCAUUGGGAGUCUUCUCUCACUUAUAUUCAUGAUGUUAGUAUGGUGAUUCCAUAUCUUGACUUUGUUCCUAACCUAACCUAACCUAACCAUCACAACAAUCCACAAGUGUCGGAUGAACUCCGACCAUAUAACAAGAUAGUGGAAACAAGACUAACAAAUAUCACUUAAUAUGUGUCGAAUCAAUCCAUUAAUAUCAACAUACCCAAGUCCAUAGUCAUCCAAAAAGCCUCUACAAAUCUGAUGUCUAUAAUAUAUCGAGACAUGCCCCCGACAAUAUCCAAAUACCAAGUCUAAAACAAAUCUUUAACAUAGGAUGAAAGACUAUGAAAUGUAUGUCUUCCAAAGUAUGGAAGCUCACCACUUCAAUGUCAACACACGAACUGCUCGAACACCAGGUCGCUGCGCAGGAAAGAGAAGAAGAAGCUCCAUCCUUUGUGUCACAUGGGUACAUAGUGUCCUGAGAUGGUUAGUGGUUGGGGUAUAUAGUAUGUAACUUAUGGAUAAGGAUAAAAUAGUUCCAUCAUGAAAAAAUGAGUCAAACCAUCAUAUGCAAUCACAUUUAUAUACAUGGGCAUAUACGUAGAUAUAUAUAUAUAUAUAUAGUUGUAUAUCAUGCCGAAAAGAGGGAAAAGACUUAGCAUAUAUCUUUCAAGCACUUGAUCUUGAGACGUGGAGUGGAGGAAUCCAACCUUCCACCCUUAUAGUUUAAAAUAUUUGAACUUAUCAGUUAUAUUAAGACAGAGGACUCUAACCUCAAACCGCCUCAUCUUAUAUAGCAAGUGGACUCUAACCACAAGCCACCUUAUCUUACAUGGACAGUGGACUCUAACCACAAGCCGACUUAUAUAAAGAGUGGACUCUAACCAUAAGACAUAUAUAUAUAGAGAAAGUGGACUCUAACCACAUGCCAUCUUAUAUAGCAAAUGGACUCUAACCAUUAGCCAUUAUAUUAGGCAAGUGGACUCUAACCUCAAGCCAUGUUAUUAGGCAAGUGGACUCCAACCAUAAGGCAUUUAGACCAUUUGUUUAGUCGAAAUUGGGACUUUAUCUCUACCCUUUGUUUGUGCAAUGACAUCCAUUCAAUUAAAUACUUAAAGACUCUAACCCAUUUAGCCAACUUAAGCUACUAAGGCUACAAUUCAACACCAUAUAUAACCAUAUAGUCUUUAUGAAACCAUUUAUCAAUCACUUAAAUGGAACAAUUUCUUCGUUCAGACCACAAUACAAAUCCAUUUAUGGUCAUUAAUACCUUUACAAACCAUUCAUUCUUCAUUAGAAUUCUUAUACCAAACUUUAGUUCACAACACAAUUCAAUUCCAUGUUUAGGGACUUUAACCCAUUUAGCCAUCAAGCCACCAAAGUCAUCAAUUAACUAAUUACAUGGACAACAAGGCCUUUAAAAUACCAUUUACCAACCAUUCAUACUUAUAAGAACAUUUCUCUCUCCCCAUUCCUCUCUCUCUCCAGUUCUCUCUUUUCUACUCUUUUUUUUCUCUCAUCACUACUAUCACCGGUGGAAUUAGGGUUUCCACCAGCUCGACUCUGGUAAUGGCAUAGUGUGUAGCACUGGUCAAAAUUGGUUAAAAUAGUUGGUGCAAUAUUGUAAUACCCCAAAGUUUUUUUGAAGUCUAAUUUAGUCUUCAGAAGAUUUAGGGAUGAGUUCCUAAAUAAUUAAAGUUUAAAUCAGAUAGAAUUUCCCCAAUUUCCCUUAAUUGAAUUAGCUUUCCAAUGAUACCAAUUUCUUCCAAAUCUGGUAUCAGAGUAAAAAGUUAUGGACGUUUUACAAAAAACUAUCGGAACCUCCCUGAAGCGAUGGUCAGCCCGAUGAACCGUCGAGCUAGUAGUGGACCGUCUCCCAAGCCAUCAUAACUAAGGUAGUAAACCUGUCUUCCGGCCAAGUACGAUGGUCAGGACUGAUGGAUUGUCGAGCUAGCGAUGGACCAUCACCUAAACCAUCGCAGAUGAGGCAGAAAGUUCAGGUUUUGGCCAAGUACGACAGGAUAAAAUGGUAGACAUCGAGCCAACGAUGGACCGUUGCUCAAAUCGUUGCCACUUUCGAUCAGCAAUUUUAAGCUAUUUUUAAAAGGGUAUUUGGGUCCUUUUCUACCCAUUUUAUCCCCUAUUAUACCAGACUAGAGGUCAUAACUUCAUUAUUCACCUACAAUACCAAAUUAGGGUUUCUGUCAAAGAUCAAUCCCUAAGAACAAGGUCAAAACCCUUCUUCAAGAAAUGAAGAAAUUCAAGUUCUUCAAGUUCAAGAACCAUCAAGAAAACAUCAAGAUCUGUGUUUCCCAAUCUAAGAACAUUCAAGAAAUGUUAGUUAUCUUUCAAGAUCCAAGCUUUUGAGGUAUGUUUAGUGUUGUUUCAUGAGUUCCUUUCACCCAUGAAGCUCAAGAAUCCUAUUUUAAAAUUAGGAAUUGUGAAACCCAGGUUGUGGAUUGAUUAUAAUCAUAUGUUUAUAUUGUUGUGCGACUUCCAAGUUGGAAGCUUUAAUAUGUUUUCAUGAAAUUUUGUUAAUGUAUGGAUUGAAAUCAAUGAAAUUAAGUUGGAUGAAAGAACUUGAUGUAUUAAGUUAAUGUUCAUGCUUAAGCCCUAAGUUAUGUAUGCAAGAUGUUUGAUAAAAUGCCUAAGAGAGUAAGAUUAUGCUUAUUGACUCAAUAGGACCUAAAUAAUGAAUCCAUGCUUUAUCCAUAUAUUUCAAAAUGAAUCUCAUGCUAUUGUGAUGCGUACAAAUUAUUUGAUGGAAUGACCUUGAUACUAGAAUUGUGUAACCAUGAUAUAUUGGAAUACAUUCUUAUUCAUGUACAAAAGUAUGAGAACCAAGUGCUUCAUGAAACUCCCAAGUGAUUUUAUUAUGAAUUAUUGAUUAUGGUCAUAUGUUCAAGAAGUGUUAUGUCUUAGUCAAUGAAUUAUGGAUAUAUGUAUAGCCAUUGUUGUGUUUUUGAACUUGUGCUAUGAAUUACUUUAUACUAUUGAGUCCUGGGGGUAUUUAUACCAAUAAUUUAGUUGUGUGCCUAGAGCCAGUGUUAGUUUUCAAGAUACUCUCAGUCAAGACAUGUUCAGUAGAAUUCAGUUAGUCUCAUGACUCAAGAAAACUCAGUAAUCUUAGUAAUCUCAAUAAUCUUAGUCAGUUAUCAGAUCUUAGUAAUAUUCCAUCAGUCAACAGAACUCAGUGAACUUAUUCCAGUUCAUCUUAGUAUAAUUAGUUUAGUGUCUAUUUAGUUGGGAGUAGAAUUUAGUAAUGAGCAAACCUAAGGAUGGGGGCGCCACACACUGACCUUUGAGGGUAUGACCCUUAGAAGUAAUCCUUGCAUUCCAAAACUAUGUAGCGAGCAUAGGUUGAGACAUGACACUAUCAGUUGUGGGUUGAUGGGGUGGAUUAACACUGCCAGAUGACGGUCACAUCGUUCUUCUUUGGGGACACUUCUAGAUGAGGGUUACUUACAGAUUUUCCUUACCAGUGGCACGAUAUAACACCCUUAUAAUUGGGGUUAUAUAUUGGACCCUCACUCUAUAUAGAAAAGGGGCAUGUCGGUUAGAUGACUACUUCCCAUAGUUACAGUCUCAGUCUUAGUCUCAGUAAUAGAACUCAGAUAGUUCUACAGAAUUUAGGACUGUCGGAUACAAUCACCCAGCUCAGUACAAAACUUAUCUUAUCAGUAUUCAGAUUCAGUAAUGUCAUGAUUUCAGUUACAGUUACUUAUUCAUGCAUAUAUUCUCACAUUCAUGUUAUACAGUCAGUUAGUAUUGUUUAUGCAUAUGAACCCUUUGUAUUCAGCCUACAUCACUAGUGUACCAACAUAUUCAAUCAUAUUGAUGUAUUUGUGCUAUGGUGUUUUAGACCAUAGGUUCAGAAGUACGAGCUCUAGAGCAUCAGUAGCAUUCCAAUUUUAGGAGCCAGAGUCAGUAGUGAGUCCUCAUCAUUCGAGGAUGUUAUGAUUUGAUAACUUCACUUCUAUAGUACUUAGUUUAUUUUAGUAGUUGGAGUUAGUUGGGGACAUAUCCCAUCAAAUCUUUAUUCAGACAGUACAGUGUUAGAGACUUUUAGACUAUAGUAUGUUCAGAUUAUUAUUUCAGUUGUUUUGGUAUUGAUAUAUCGUAUUUUAAAAUAUUUGAACCUUAUGGCCUUUAAGCCUUUUAUUUUGUAUUUAUAUAGUAUAUUAUGCAGUAUUUAGGUACAAAUAUUAGUCAUGGGUUAGCUUGUGGUCCUUCGGGGGUCACGAGCACCGUGUAGUAUUUCGGGUACCAAAUUUGAGGCGUUACAAAUGUCAAACGGUGACCAGCUGUCGGCAGCACCAAGAAGACGCUCGAACGAUAUUUCGGUGAUGCACCAGCGGCUUCUUUUUGGUGACUCUAUUUCAUCAACCAAUUUUAACAUCAGAAUUGCCAUAACCAGCACACGCAGGAGUACCUCUGUGACAUCUGAACUUUAUUAUUUAGUUACUCUUUACAGUUUAGUUUCUUUAUAUUUUUUCAGUUCCUUGAGAUUAUAGUUGGGUUUGGCUUGCUUAUUGGUGGAUAUUAUUAUGUUGUUCUAGCUGCUAGAUUAGAUAGUGUAUUCUUGAUAAUGUAUUUUUCAUGCGUGCCUAUUGUUUCCCUGCUUUUUUUCUAUUGUUUUCCUCUUUGGGUUUGGUUGUUUUCCUAUUUGUUGGAAGAUUUAAGGCUUUGUUUUAAUUUUUGAAGAGUGGUUGUAGGGAUUGAUGAUGGAAUAGGGUUAUGUCUGAGGAGGUUGGGGUCUAUUUUUAGAUGGGUGAAGAGGGAAGGAUGGGGGUAGAAGGGUCUCUAAGUCAAGUGUUAGGGUUGGUUCAGCAAGGGAUGGAAGAGGUAGGCAAGAGGCGAGAUAAGAUAGGUUGAGGGUAGGGUCUUGGAACAUAAGGACCCUUCAGGGUAAGUCCGUUGAGCUGGUGAAGAUCCUUAAGAAGAAGAGGAUUAGUAUUGCAUGUGUUUAGAAGAGUAAGUAGUUAGGGUUUAAGUCUAGAGAUGUAGAUGGGUACAAGUUAUAGUACUCAGGGAGUGAGAGGCAUCGAAAUGAAGUAUGUAUCUUAGUGGUAGAGGUUAAGAGGGUUAGUGAUAGGCUGAUGACGAUUAAGUUGGUCAUUGGGGGGUUUACGCUGCAUGUGUAUAGUAUUUAUAUUCCAUAGGUGGGCUUAGAAGAAGAGGUGAAAGCAAUAUUUUGGAAGGCUUUGGAGAAGGUGGUGAGAAUUGUGCCUAGCUUGGAGAAGAUUGUCAUAGCAGGGGACUUAAAUAGGCACAUUGGGGUUUUGUCGGGAGGUUAUGAUGAUGUACAUUGAGGUUUUGGUUUCGGUGAUAGAAAUUGAGGGGGUUGCUCUAUUGGAUUUUGCAAGGGCCUUUGGGCUGGUGGUAUUGAAUUCAAGCUUUCUGAAGAAGGAGGAUCACCUGAUUACCUUUUAGAGCACGAUAACCAAGACUCAAAUUUACUUUCUACUGCUUAGGAAAGGGGAUAGGGUUUUGUGUAGGUACUGUAAAGUCAUUAUGAGUGAGCAUCUCUCAACCCAGCACAGGCUUCUGGUGAUAGAAGUGAUUUUCAAGAAGAGUAAGAAGAGUAGGUCCAGAGAGGGUCGAUCCAGAAUUAGAUGGGGUGGCUUGACGCUACUUAGUCAACCAGAGAUAGGGAAGAAGGUGGUGGCAAUGGAGGUGUGGGAGUGUAGGGGGACGUAGAUGUUAUGUGGGAUAAGGAUGCCAUCUACAUUAGGGUGGUGGAUAGAGAGGUAUUAGGUAUUUUGAGGGGUCGGGCAAGAUGGCAUAAGGGGGACUGGUGGUGGAAUGAAGAAGUUAAGAGGAAAGUGGAAAUUAAGAAGGGGUGUUUGUUAAGUUUUUUUAGAGUAAAGAUGAAGAGGAGAAGAAGGUGAAUAGGGAGGUUUACAAAGUAGCAAGGAAAGAGACUAAGUUAGUAGUUACGGCUCGUAAGACAGCAACUUUUGAGAAUGUGUAUGCGGGGUUAGAGAAGAAAGGCAGUGAGAAAAGGUUGUAUAGGCUUGCUAAGGCUAAGGAUAAGAAGGGUCAUGAACUUAAUCAAUUGAAGUGAAUUAAGGGAGAGGAUGGUAGAGUUUUGGUAGAGGAUGUUCACAUUAAGAAGAGAUGGCAUGAGUAGUUUCAUAGACUUUUAAAUGAGGAGGGGACAGAGGAAUUUAGUUAGUAGAGUUAGAGCGCUCAGAGGAGAGCCAUGAUUUCAGUUACUAUAGAUCUUUUAAGGUUAAGAAGGUUAGAGAGGCUAUUCAUAGGAUGCGGAGGGGUAGGGAAACGGGGCCUGAUGAGAUCUCAGUGGAUUUUUGGAAGUAUUUUGGCAGGGUUGGUUUAAGGUGUUGACUAAUUUUUUUAACAAUUUUUUCAAGACUGUGAGAAUGCCUGAGGAUUGGAGAUGGAGUACAAUGAUCCCAUUAUGUAAAAACAAUGGUGACGUUCAGAGCUGCAACAACUACAGGGGUAUUAAACUGUUGAUUCACACUAUGAAGAUUUGGGAGAGGGUGGUUGAGCGGAGGUUGAAGAGGGUUGUAUCUAUUUUGGAGAAUCUGUUUGGUUUUAUGCCUGGUCGCUUGAUGAAAAAGACAAUCCACAUAGUGAAGAGAUUGGUAGAGCAGUAUAGGGAAAGGAAGAGAGAUUUUCAUAUAGUGUUCAUCGACUUGGAGAAGGCGUAUAGCAAAUUUCCUAUAGAGGUUAUUUGGGGAUGCUUAAAGGUAAGAGGGGUUUCGGUGGCAUACAUCAGAGAUAUUAAGGACAUGUACGAUGGAGGGAAUACUCGGGUGAGGAUGGCGGGAGGAGACUCAGGGCAUUUUCUGAUUGCGAUAGGUUUUUACCAGGGAUUGACUCUUAGUCCAUUCCUUUUUUUGUUGGUGAUGGACGUGUUGAUGUAGAGUAUUCAAGGUGAGGUGCCUUGGUGUAUGUUAUUUGUGGAUGACAUAGUGCUGAUUGAUGAGAUACGGGAAACUGUGAAUGAUAAAUUGGAGGUUUAGAGAAAAACCCUUGAAUCUAUAGGGUUUAGGUUGAGUAGGUCCAAGACACAGUGUAUGGAAUGCAAGUUUACCGAGUCAAGUCAGGAGGACGAAAUGGUGGUAAGGUUGGAUUCCUAGGAUGUUGUAAGAGGGAUAGUUUUAAGUAUCUUGGGUCUAUGAUUCAGGGGAAUGACGAGAUUGAUGAGGAUGUCUCUAAACAUAUAGAAGAAGGUUGGAUGAGGUGGAGGCUCACCUCGGGAGUGUUGUGUGAUAAGAAGGUGCCUCUUAAGCUUAAAGGCAAAUUUUACAAAGUGGCAGUCCAUCCGACCAUGCUGUAUGGAGAGGAGUGUUGGCCAGUCAAGAACUCCCAUAUUCAAAUAGUGAAGGUGGAAAAAAUGAGAAUGUUGUGCUGGAUUUGUGGACUUACUAGAGGGGAUAGAGUUAGGAAUGAGAUUGUCUGAGAGAAGGUGGGAGUGGCUUCAAUGGAGGACAAAAUACAAGAAGGAAGGAUGAGAUGGUUUGGGCAUGUAAUAAGGAGGGGCACGGAUGCCCCAGUUCAUAGGUGUAAGAGGAUAUCUUUGGAUGGCUUUAAGAGGAGAAGGGGUAGGCUAAAGAAAUACUAGAGGGAGGUGAUUAGGCAUGACAUGGAGCAGCUACAGCUUACUGAGGAUAUAACCCUAGACAGGAAGGUGUGGAGGGCGUAGAUAAGGGUAGAAGAGUGCUUGUGUAGGAGAGUGCUUGUGUAGCUGGAUUAGUAACCCUAGGAGUAUGUCCUUGAGUAGGAGCCUCUAGUCAGGAGGGAUUGGGUAUGGUAGGUGUAUUUGGGCCACGAGUGUAUGUUAAUAAUAGGUGGGUAUCAAAUUUGUUAUUUCUUAUUUUGAAUUGCUCGAUUUCUCUUAUUUCGUAUUUCUCUGAUAUUUAUUUUUAUUAUCUCUUAUUCCUUAUUUCUGUUAUGCCAUCUAUCCUGUUUCAUGUUUCACUAUGAUCCUGUGUCCUAUUCUCUAUCUUAAGCCGGGGGUCUAUCGAAAAUAGCGUCUCUACUUUUUCAGAGGUAGCGGCAUAGACUGUGUACAUUUUACCCUCCCCAGACCUCACUUUGUGGGUAUAUACUGGGUUUGUUGUUGUUGUUGUUGCAAUGUCGUAGUUCAAAACACUAUUAACAUGUGAUAGUUAAUUCUCUUAGACAUUUUCACAAACACCUUGAGGGCAUACUUUUAUCAAGACCAAAACCAAAGUAGAAAUCAUUAAACUUAGGGUUACUCAUGACCCAUUGGUUAAUCCACAAUCAACAAGCACACACAUGUGCAAACCAUCACCAAAAACAUGUAUAAACAUAAGUUUAAGCAAGAGUAAACAAUACCCAACACUAUGCAUAGAAACCCUCAACAUUUGAUUUCAAAACCACCAUUUACAAGUCAAAAUCAUUGUUUAGAACACAUGAUAUUUUGAACCAACAAUGAGGAAAGAGUCGCAUGCCUUAUACAAGAUAAUUCAAGGAAAGAACUUGACCCUUUUUUUUGCCUCUAGAUGAACACUUGUGGAACUCUAGCCCCCAUUCUUCAAGAGGGAGUUUGAGAGAGUAUUUGGAAAGUUUGACCCACUAAAUAAGGGUUAUGAGGGGCCACAACAUGUUAUAUAGUGUGAGGACUUAAGGGUUUUGAGGUGGGAAAUGUUUGAAAAGCCCUCAGCGUAAAAGCUGAAAAUCUACUCACAGGUGGGUAUGACUUCCACACCUAAACCCUACCCUAGGGUACUAGUGGUACCCUAUCUCAUACCCUAUACCCCACCUUUUUCCCUCUUGAUGACCAUCAUAUGAUCACCAUGGUCUAACUUAUACCUUAGGAUGCAAAUAGUACCCUAAAACCAUACCUUGGAUAGAUUUAACUAGGGUAAGCAUGAGGUAUCAUAGAACUUGGCAAAGUACUACUCUUACCCUAUCAUAUGACAAGUAAGAUGUUGACUCGUACCUUGGACAGAAACAAAAACAAACACACUUCUUAACAUACGAUAGGGACACCAAACUAUACCCUAGGGUACCACUAGUACCCAUGAGCCGUACCUUGCCCAGAAUGUCCAAAACACAAGAAAUUUUGCAUGGGCCAAGGUUUAGGGUGUUUAUUUCUCCCCAACUUAGGAUCAUUCAUCCUCAAAUGAUAGGUAAAAGUAAUCACAAGAAUGAGUUAACAUAUUAAUUCACGUCAAACUUUUCUCAAACCACUUUAGAUGAUGAUGACACAAAAUAAGAUUGGAAGAUCAUCACCUACCCCAAGCAUAAUUUGCACCCCAACACCUCUAUUCCGACCUCUAACUAAGUUAGAAAACAAAGAUGCGAGAUAAUCAACCUUUUCUUUAACCAAGUUAGAAAACAAUGAUCUGAUAAAGAACAGAUACCUUACGGACGAGUUUUCAAAACAAAGACCUAACGCGGAUACUUGGACUCCAUGUCCUCUAUCAUAUCCCAAAUGGAUUCCUCGGACCUUUAGUUCCACCAUGGAACCUUUCCCUUUCAUUCAAGACCAGUGAACUUACCAACCCAAGACCACCCAUGGGACCUCCUUAAAGAAUAAAGAGUAUGAGAUAUCAAUACCACUCCAACUAACCAACCAUAUGAAGGACCAUCCACAUCUUACCCUAACAUAAACACAUGGAAUACCAGAUGAAUGGAACUCGUUCUAGGGAGAAAGUCCAAUUCAACUUGUACUUUCCCAUAGACAUAUCACUACGACAACCUGAAUCUAGCCAUACACUACUUCUAUGUUCAAGUCUAUUCAAAUCUAGAAGGAGUUAACAUAAGCCACGAGGCUCUAUUUCUUACAUCCAUCCAUGAACACUACUCUGCCCCACCACUAUCGCUAAGUAUUAUGCAGUAUCAAGAUUCUUUGUUAGCCGACAUAAACAUUGGUAUAUAUAUCAAUCACAAUAUUCAAGCCUACCAACCUAUCUCCAUAAUCCUCACAUUUCUAUCAAUAUCAACAUCUAGGAUUCACACUUAGUGUCUACCAACCACCCUGCACUACCUAACAAAGCACCCCUAUAGAAUAUACGUACAUGGUCCACCCCGCAAGGAGGACACCCAAAAUUCCUUAUUUACCCUCAACAACCUAUUCUUUCCCAGGGGAAACCAUCCCUCCUUAAGCAUGCAAGUACAAAAACACUUCAUCGAAACCAUUCUAGAAAGAAAAAAUAGAAAUUGGAUGAGUGUCCAAGACAAGACCAAUUCACAACUCAAUCUCCCCAUAGAGGUACUAGGAAAGUUAUCAAGGAGAACCUCAGGAUAUUCAUUAACCACGAGAAUGGAUUCUAGAAAAGGGAUUUUUGAGUUAGAAUCUUUAACUUAGACCAAGUGAUACAAACACCCUUUAGAGAUCAACUUUCAAGCUCUAAGAUAGGAGAUAAACCUUCCCUCAGGCACUAAGGAACCUACCCUUCCCAUUCAAUGACUGGCUCAUUAGGAAAUUUAAAUAUGACCAUACGAGUUCGACAAUCUAAGGAAAAAUAAGACAAAUGCAACCAAACUAUCCUCAAUAUGACAUCCAAGUCAACCAUAUCUAAUCCUAUCAAAUCUACCAAAGUUUAUUUACUAUCAACAGCUACUACACACCCCCUAUUGACUCUCUUGACAACUACAGAGUCUCCUACCUGGGUAGAAAUAGGUAAGGAAUUCGAUAGACACCCAGGACCAAAACUAAAAUAAAUAGCCAUAAAUGAGGUCACAUAAGAUAGAGUGGGCCUUGGAUCAAGUAUACAAUAGACAUCAUGGGAGAAAAGUUUCAAUAUACCUGUAAUAACAUCUAGAGAUACCUCGUACUCCUGGCGAGUAGCAAGUGUAUACAAGCAAUUUCGGCCAAUGCUGGUACCAAAAAUUAAAGCUGAAAUAGAAAUAGUACCCUUCGAAGAAAGAGCAGAUGAAGUAGCAAUAGGGAUCCCAUUAGCCCAAGCAGCCACUAGAGAAGGGCACUAUCACUACAUGUGCCCAAUCUGACCAUAUCUAAAACACCUAUUACUCUCCUUCUCAUAGUGACCACAAUGAUGUUGACCACAAAAUCUACAAAGAGGGUAGGUCGGUGAUUAUUGGGCCCUACUGGCCUGAGACUAGGUACCAUGUUCCCUAGAAGCAUCACCACUCUAAGAACUUCUAUCUCUUGAUGACAUCGGGUAGGGAGCACUAGCUGUGGCAUAGGAGUCGGGACUUACCCAAUUCUUCCUCUUAGACCACUUACCACUAAACCUUUAGUAUCCACUCUAUUCAGAAGAUUGAGACCUCUUAACUCUCCUCUCAUCGAUCUUAAUUUGUUUCUUUUUCUCUUUCUCUACUUGUUACAUAUAUACAACCAACCUAGAGAUGUCCUAUCUUUGAUUAAUAAAGCCGCCUUACUAUCAAGGACCAAUUCAUGAGAUAGUUCCAAAGAAAACAUAUGCAUUCUCGCCCUCAUGCUAGAAACCAUCUCCGGAGCAUAGCUAGAUAACUGAUGGAAUUUCAAGGCAUACUACUUGACAGACAUCCUACACUACCUCAAAUUCACAAAAUCUUGUGCUUUCUUUUCCUUCACCUCUUAAGGAAAAAAUCUCUCUAAGAAAGAACUAGAGAAAUCCUCCCAUAUAACAAAACUAGCAUCCUUACCUAUUGACUGUUCCUACUCUUUGUACCAUUGUUACUCAAUAUCUUUCAAUUUAUAGGAAGCAAAUUCAAUACCUUCAACCUCCAAAGCAUGCAUAAUUUAAAGAUCUUCUCCUUUUAAUCAAAGAAACUUUAAGAAUCCUCCUCAACCUUUACACCCGUAAACAUAGGAAGGAGCAACCUCAUGAAUUGUCAACCCUUAUGGCUUCAGAAGAUCAAGAAGAAUACUAUGCUUGGAUUGAGAAGCUACUAACUGAGUCAAUAGGUUAAUAAAAUAAUAGAACUCAAUAUUAGUAGCAUCCCCUUGAGGUGACUGAGGGGGAGUGUCAAUCUUAGAAGUAGGGUUAGUGGGGUAGGUGGAACUCCAUGAGUAAAGUAUGAUGCCGUGACCCUUGAUCGAGUCUUAACUCAAGAAUUUUGAUGAGAUCCAUCCAUAUUUUCCUUAGUCAAGACAAAAGAGUUUGACUUAAUGUUAGAUCUCCUUGGAGGCAUGAUCUAAAAGUUGAGCAAAUGAAAAUGAAUGAAAUCCAAGACCUUGGACUCUAUAGCUCGAGAUAAAACCAAAAGAAUGGGAAACAUUCCUAAAUUUCUCAUAGCCUCUCUCUUAUAGGUGUGGCGUGCUACACACCCAUAAAAGAGACUCUACUUGACAUGGUUGUAUGGACAUCCAACUGACUAUGAACCUAGGCUAUGAUACCAACUUGACACAACCCAAAACUGGGCCUUGUCAUAUGACAUCUCAAUCUCAAUAAGGACCAAAGAUCGCCCUAUAACAUAACAUAACCAUCACAUCAAUCCACAAGUAUCGAAUAAAAUCUUACCAUAUAACAAAAUAGUAGAAACAAGACUAACAACCAUCACUUAAGAAGUUUCUAAUCAAUCCAUUAAUAUCAACAUACUAAACCAACAUACCCAAGUCCACAGUCAUCCAUAAAGCCUCUACAAAUUUGAUGUCUAUAAUAUGUCAGGACAUGCCUCUAACAAUAGUUAAAGACCAAGUCUAAAACAAGUUUAUAACAUAAGAUAAGAGACUAUAAAAUAUAUUCCUUCCAAAUUAUGGAAGCUUACUACUUCAAUGUCAACACACAAACCGCUCGAACACCUGGUCAAUGUACAGAAAGAGAAGAAAAAGAUCUGGCCCUUGUGUUGUAUGAGGACAUAAUGUCCUAAUAUGGUUAGAGGUUGGAGCGCAUAGCAUGUAACUCGAAGAUAAGGAUAAAAUAGCACUAUCAUACAAAACUGAGUCAAACCAUCAUAUGCAAUCACAUUUAUAUACAUAGGCAUAUACGUAGAUAUAUAUAUAGUUGUACAACAUUCUGAUAAAGGGGACAAGAUUUAACAUACAUAUUUUAAGCACUCAAUCAUAAGACAUGGAGUAAAGAACUCUAACCUUCCACCCCUACAGUUUAGAAUGUUUGAACUUCUCAGUUAUAUUAAGAAAGAGGACUCUAACCUCAAGACGUCUUAUCUUAUAUAGAAAGUGGACUCUAACUAAAAGCCGCCUUAUCUUACAUGGAAAGUGGAAUCUAACCACAAGCCAUCUUAUAUAGAGAGUGAACUCUAACCACAAGCCAUCUAUAUAUAUAGCAAGUGAACUCUAACCACAUGCCAUUUUAUAUAGCAAGUGGACUCUAACUACAAGCCAUUAUAUUAGGCAAGUGGACCCUAACCUCAAGCCAUAUUAUUAGGCUAGUGGACUCUAACCACAAGCCAUUUAGACCCUUUUUCUAGUUGAUAUUGGGACUCUAUCUCUACCUUUUAUCUAUGCAAUGAUAUUUAUUCAAUUCAACACUUAAGAGCCACAAAGGCUAUAAUUCAACAGCAUAUAUGACCACAUGGUCAUUAUAAAACCUUACAUCAAUCAAUCACUUAAAUGGGACAAUGCCUCAGUUUAUUCCACAAUUCAAAUCUAUUUAUGGUUAUCAAAACUUUUACAAAAAAUAUAUUCUUCAUUAGCAUUCUUAUACCAAACUUUAGUUCAUAACAUAAUUCAAUUCCUUGUUUAGGUACUCUAACCCAUUUAUCCAUCAAACCACCAAAGUCAUCAAUUAAAUCAUUGCAUGACCAACAAGGCCUUUAUAAUACCAUUUACCAAUAAUUCAUGCAUAUUAGUCCAUUGACCUAGUUCAUUCAUAUUCAUUAUGCCAAUGUCAUAGUUCAAAACACCAUUAACAUAUUACUAGUUAUUUCAUCUUAGACAUUUUCACAAGUACCUUGAGGGCCUACUUUUAUGGAGACCAAAACCAAAGUAGAAAUCAUCAAACUUAGGGUUACUCAUUACCCAUUGAUUAAACCAUAAUAAAAAAGAACCCACAUGUUCAAACCAUCAACAAAAGUAUGUAUAAAUACAAGUUUAUGCAAGAGUAAACAAUACCCAAUACUAUUCAUCCAAACCCUCAACAUAUUAUUUCAAAACCACCAUUUAAAAGUCAAAAUCAUUGUUUAAAACAUAUGAUAUUUUGAACUGACAAUGAGGGUAGAGUCACAUGCCUUAUACAAGAUGAUUCAUGAAAAGAACUUGACCUUUUUUUGCCUCUAGUUGAACACUUAUGGAACCCUUGCCUUCAAUCUUGAAGAGUGAGUUUGAGGGAGUAUUUUGAAUAUUUGAUCCACUAAAUAAUUAUUAUGAGAGGCUACAACAUGUUAUAUAGUGUGAGGACUUACGGGUUUUGGGGUGGGAAAUAUCUGAAAAACCUUUAGCUUAAAUGGUGAAAAUAUACUCAUAGGUGGGUACGACUUUCAUACCUAAACUUUACCCUAGGGUAUGAGUAGUACCCUAUAUAAUACCCUUGACCCCACCUUGGUCCCCCAUAAUGACCAUCAUAUGAACACCUAGGUCUAACUCAUACCUUAGGGUAUGAAUGGUACCCUAAAAUCAUACCUUAGAUAGAUUUAACUAGGGUAAGCAUAAGGCAUCAUACGACUUGGCAAGGUACCAUUCUUGCCCUAUCAUAGACAAGUAAGAUGUUGACUCAUACCUUGGACAGAAACCAAACAAAACACACUGCCUAACAUAUAAGAGAGGGACACCAAAUCUUACCUUAGGGUACCACUACUACCCAUAUGUAAUACCCCGAACUUUCUUUAAGUCAAAUCUAGUCUCCAGAAGAGUUAGUGAUGACUUUCUAAAUGAUUAAUAUUUAAAUCAGUUAUAAUUUCCCUAAUUUUGACUUUUUAUCAUGUGUGAAAUUUAAUUAGCUUUCCAAUGAUACCAAUUUUGUCCAAAUCUGGUAUCGAAGUAGAAAGUUAUGGACGUUUUACUGAGAGCUGUCAGAAUCACCCAGGUGCGACGGGCAGGUUGACGGACUGUCAAACUAGUGAAGGACCAUCGCCUAAACUAUCAUAGCUAAGGUAUUAAGUCAAUCUUCAGGAUAAGGUGCGGCCAGGUUGACAGACCGUUGAGCUAGCGACAAACUGUCACCUAAGCCAUCGCUGCUAAGGUAGUAAGUCCUUAUUCUGGCCCAAGUACGACGAUUAGAACGGCGGACCGUCGAGCCAGCAACAGACCAUUACAUGAGCCAUCAUAGAUCUCGUUCAACAAUUUAAAUCUAUUUUUAAAAGGGUAUAUAUGUCUUUUUCCACCUGUUUUAACCCCUAAGUGUACCAGCCAAUAGCUCAUAACUUCAUUAUUCAUUCAUAAUAUCUAAUUAGGGUUUUUCUCAAAGAUCAAUCUCCAAGAACAAGAAACCCUAUGAGCUUAAUUCUAAGUCAAGAAUUCAAGCUUUUCUCUAUAAAUAUUUAAGAAAUCAUCCACCCAGGCAUGUCUAGUGUUCAUUCAUGGAUUCCUUUAGUCCAUGAAGCCCAAGAAUCUAAUUUUAAAUUAUAAAUUAUGAUGUUUAUGUUAUGGAUUGAUUACGAUCAUGUUGGUGUUGUGCAUGAAACCCAAGUUGGAAUUGUUAAAUGUGUUUUCAUUAAUUUAUGCUAGCAUGUGGAUUGAAAUCUAUUAAAUUGUGUUGAUUUAUACAACCAUGAUGAAUUAAUUUAAUGUCUGAACCUAAGAUUAUAGUUAUGCAUGCAAGGUGUUAGAUAAAAUGCCUAAGAGAAUAGGAAACAUACCUUAUGACUCAAUUAUGACCAAAAUGAUGAACCUAUGUUUCACCUUUAAGUUCAAAUCACUCCCAUGUUAUUGUUAUGCUUUGUGAUGGAUUGAUGUAAUGCUCAUGAGAUUAGCCUUAUGAAAUUAUAACAUGUUUACAUGCACUUCUAUUCACGUGUGAGCUCAUGGCAUGCAAAUACUUUAUGAAUAUCCCCAAUGAUUGUACUAUGAAUUGUUGGCUAUGGUCAUGCAUCAAGGAGUGUCAAGUCUUGUCAGUUUCAUGCUAUUGAGUCCUAAGGGUACUUGUACCUGACAAUUUAGUUGUGUUCCUAGAGAUAGUAUCAUUUUUUCAAGAUACUCUUAAUUAAGCCACGUUCAGUAGAAUUUAGUCAGUCUCAUGACUAAGGAAAACUAAAUAAUCUCAGUAAUCUCAGUCAGAUAUCAGAUCUCAGUGAUACUCCGUCAGUUAAUGGAACUCAAUAAACUUAGUCCAGUCAGUUAAGUAUAAUUAAUUUGAUGUCUAAUCAGAUGGGAUAGGAUUCAGCACCGAGUGAGUCCAAGGAUAGGAACUCACCUACGAGUAGGAGGUGUGAUCUUAGAAGCAAUCUUUGUGCUCUAGAACUACAUAGCCAGUGUAGGUUGAAACAUCUAACCUAUUAGAUAAGGGUCGAUAAGGUGGAUUGACCUAUUAGAUGAGGGCCCCACCAUUCUCCUUAGAGCUCCUGUUAGAUGAGGGAUCACUCACAGCUUGUCUUUAUUAGUGGCGCGGUAUUGAUACCCUUCUAAUUGGGGUUAUAGAUUGGACCCCAACUUAGCUGUAUUGCUUUAUUUAGGGCAUAUCGGUUAGAUGACUACUUCCCACAGUUACAGUCUUAGUCUCAGUCUUGAUAAUAGAACUCAAAUAGUUCUACAGAAUUUAGGACUGUUAGAUACAGUCACCCAGUUUAAUACGAAACCAGCUAGUUCUAUAAAAAACAAGACUGUCAGACCUAGUCAUUGAUAAUAGUACAACAGUUAUACGGAACCUAUUUUAUUAGUAUUCAGAUUCAAUAAUGUCUUGAUCUUAGAUACAGUUCAUGUAUUCAUGCAUGUAUUCUCACGUUCAUGUUAUUCGGUCAUCUAGUAUUGUUCAUGUAUAUAAACCCUUGCAUUUAGCCUACAUGACUUGCAUACCAUUAUAUUCAAUCUUACUGACACAUUUGUUCUAUGGUAUUUUAUACCAUAGGUUUAGAAGCACGAGCUCCAGAGCAUCAGUAGUAUUCUAGUCUCAGCAGUCAAAGUUAGCAGUAAGUUCUCAUCCUUUGAGGACAUGAUCAUUACUUUAUUAUGUCAUCACUUAGUUUAUUUUGGUAGUUGGAGCUAGUUGGGGACAUAUCCCAUCAACUUCUUAUUUAUAUAGUUCAGUUUGAGAGGCUUUCAAACUACAGUAUGUUCAGACAGUUUAUUUCAGUUCAUGUUUUGGUAUUGAUAUACCGUACUCUCAAAUAGUAUAUUUUAUCCAUUUUGAACUUUAUGUCAUGUUUUAGUCUAUUGUUUUUUUAUUUUACAUGAUAUCAUAUAGUAUACAGGUACAUAUAUUAGUCAUAGGUUAGCUUGUAGUCCUUCGGGGUCAUGAGCACCAUGUAGAAUUCUGGGUACUAGAUUCGGGGUAUUACAAACUUGGUAUCAGAGUCUAAGGUUAAAUAGUAUCCUAGGAAGUCUGAAAUCCACAUCUAGUAGAGUUUUGUGUAUGGGUGUGUUGCGCUCCAUAUUUAUGUAUAGGAAGCUAUGAGAUAUUUUAGGAAUAGUUUCCCAUUUUUUAGUAUUCAGGUCAUGCCAGUGAGCAUAAUCUCAAGUUAAUCGCUCAGUCUAAUCCCUUUCUCUUCUAUUUAAAGAACAUGUCUCCCAAGAAGAGAACUGGGAAUCAGUUAGCCCCUCAGCCUGAAGAUCCUUUGGGCGAAGAUGUCUCUCAUGCAGAGUUUAGAGCUACAUUCACUACUCUUGCUCAGUCAGUUUCUGCUCAGAAUGAAUGACCGACUGUCAUUUUGGCUAACCCAGUGGUAAUUUCAGCUACAGCCAAGAUUCAGGACUUUACUCGAAUAAACCCACCAUUCUUUUUUGGGUCAAAUUCAGAUGAGGACCCUCAGGAAUUCUUUGAUUAUGUUCAUAAGGUUAACAACAUCAUGGGGGUUACUCCUAGUGAGAGUGCUGAGCUAGAUGCAUAUCAGUUGGAGGAUGUUGCUCACACUUGGUUCAAAUAACAAAAGUCAGAAAGGUCAGUUGAUGCAGAUCCAUAGAGUGGGAGGAGUUUGUCACCACAUUCCUAAAGAGGUUCUUUCCCCUAUAGAUGAGAGAAGCCAAUGUGUAAGUAUUUAUCAACCUUAGGCAGGGAAACAUAAUGGUACAAGAGUAUUCUCUUAAUUUUACUCAAUUAUCCAGAUAUACUCCUUAUGUGGUUGUAGAUAGUAGGGACAAGAUGAGUAAGUUUGUCUCUAGGGUGAAUGAUAGUGUGGUCAAUGAGUACGGGUUUACAAUGUUGAAUAGUGACAUGAACAGAGCCAGGCUUAUGACCCAUGCUCUAUAGAUAGAAGAGCAAAAGAUGAAGGUGAGGGAGAAGCAAAAUAAGAGAGCAAGGAUAGGUAGUUUUGACUUUUCUCAGCCUAAAUCUGAGGGAGCAAACCAUUCUCAGUUCCAUCCUAAAUCAUCAUUUCUAACUCUUUUUUCAAUCACUAUUCCAGCUCCUAAGUUUAGAGAUGGUAAUAAAGAUAGGGUGCUAGGCUCUAAGUCUCAGGACAGUGUUAGCAAUGCACAAACUAAUCCCUUUUGUCAGACUUUUGGUAAGAACCACAAGGGUAUGUGUAGAGCUGACAGUGAUGUCUAUUUAGGAUGUGGCAAGCCAGGCCACAGAGUCAGAGUUUGUCCCCAGUCAGGUUAUCAGGGUCAGUAGAACCGUUCCUCAGCUUAGUCCGAUCCCCCAAAUCAAUAGGGUGCCACUUGCAGUGCUACUAGUGGGCAACACCCAAAUCGACUUUAUGCUCUCUAGUCCCGGCAGGAUCAGGAAAAUUCUCCAUAUGUGGUUACUGGUACAUUACAGAUUUUUCACUUGCAUAUUUAUGCUUCUUAAGAUCUAGGGGCUUACUUAUUUUUUGUUACUCUUUACAUAUAGUUGAUUUUAGAGUCAGUCCCAAAAUUCUAGCAGAGCCCUUCUCAGUAUCUACCCCAGUAGGUAAAACUAUCAUAGCACGAUGGGUAUAUACUGUCCCAUUAUGGUAUCUCAGAAAAUCACUUCAGCAGACUUAGUCAAAUUAGAGAUGACUGAUUUUUAUGUCAUUUUCAGAAUAGAUUGGCUUAAUUCCUUUUAUUCCAUAGUUGAUUGCAGAAACAAAGUUGUCCAAUUUCAGUUUCUGAAUGAACCUGUCCUAGAAUGGAGGGGUAGUACUUCAGCUUUUAGUGGUCAACUUGUUUCCUACCUUUGGGCACGAAAAAUAAUAUCUAAGGGAUGUGUCUAUCAUCUUGUUCGAGUUAAAAACACUAUUUCCAAAACUCCCAGUCUUGAAUUAGUCCUAGUAGUGAAUGAAUAUUCAGAUAUCUUUUCUGAAGAUCUUCCAGGAAUUUCUCCCGAAAGGGAAAUAGACUUUGACAUUGAUCUCCAUCUAGAUACUCAGCCUAUAUCUAUUUUGCCAUAUAAAAUGGCACCAGUAGAACUCAAACAAUUGAAGUAAAAGUUGAAGGAUCUCCUAGGAAAGGGAUUCAUUAGACCAGUGUGUCCCCAUGGGGUGCACCAAUCUUAUUUGUGUAGAAGAAAAUAGUUCUCUCAGAAUGUGUAUAGACUACCGUUAACUCAAUAAAGUCAAGGUCAAGAACAUGUAUCCACUUCUUAGAAUUGAUGACUUGUUCGAUUAACUUUAGGGUGCCAACUAUUUUUCUAUGAUAGACCUCAGAUUAGGAUAUCAUCAACUCAGAUUCAGAGAAUGUGACAUUCCAAAAAUAGCCUUUCAUACUCGGUAUGGUCACUUCGAAUUCUUUGUUAUGUCCUUUAGUCUUACCAAUUUCCCAACAGAUUUCAUAGACUUGAUGAACCAUGUGUUCAAGCAUUACUUGGAUAUGUUCAUUAUAGUUUUCAUAGAUGACAUCCUUGUUUAUUCCCACAGUGAGCGUGAUUAUGCUUACCAUCUUAGAAUAGUAUUGCAGACUCUCAGAAAUCAUCAAUUAUUCACCAAGUUCAGUAAGUAUGAAUUUUGGCUAAGGUCAGUAGCAUUCCUUAGUUAUAUUAUUUUUGUUGAUGGCAUUAGGGCCGAUCCUCAAAAGACAGAAGCAGUAAAAAACUUGCCUCGCCCUAUCUCUCCAUUGAAUAUCAGGAGUUUCUUAGGUUUGGAUGGCUAUUAUUGAUGGUUUGUUAAGGUAUUUUCUUCUAUUGCAUCCCCUACGUCCUAAUUUACUCAGAAGAAAGUCAAGUUUCAGUGGUUAGAUCCUUGUGAGAAGAGUUUUUAAGAGUUGAAGACUCGACUCACCUCAGCUCCAGUUUUGGCUCUUCCAGAUGGUUCUGAUGGGUUCAUAGUGUGUUGUGAUGCAUCCAAAGUAGGUUUGGGUUGUGUCCUCAUGCAGCAUGAUAAGGUCAUAGCCUAUGCCUCCAGACAGCUUAAACCCCAUGAAAAGAAUUAUCCUACUCAUGAUCUAGAGUUAGCAACCAUAGUUUUUGCCUUAAAGAUCUGGAGGCAUUAUCUAUACAGAGUUCAUGUAGAUGUGUUCACAGAUCAUUAGAGCCUUCAGUAUGUUCUUUCUCAAAAAGAUCUCAAUCUUCGCCAGAGGAGGUGGUGAGAGCUAUUGAAAGAUUACGACAUGACUGUCCUUUAUCAUUCGAGAAAGGCCAAUGUGGUGGUCGAUGCUCUCAGUAGACUGUUUAUGGGUAGUGUUGCUCAUAUUAAGGACAGUAAAAAGAAGUUAGCUCAGGAAGCCCAUCAGCUUGCCUGACUAGGUGUCUGCCUAGUUGAUUCUUCUGUGGGUAAUAUAUAGGUUUAGAAUAGUUUAGAAUCAUCUCUAGUUUCUGAGGUGAAAGAAAAGCAAGAAAGAGAUCCUAGUCUAGUCAAGCUGAAAGAGUCAGUCAAGGAUCAGAAAGUAGAGGUUUUAUCCCAAGAGGGAGAUGGUGUUCUAUGUUGUUAGGGUCGUCUGUAUGUUUCAGGUGUAGAUGACUUAAGGCAGCAAAUUCUUGUAGAAGCGCAUGGUGUGCAUUACUCUAUUCAUUCAGGGGCCACAAAGAUGUACCGCAACUUGCGGCAGAUCUAUUGGUGGAGUGGGAUAAAGAGAUAUGUGACAGCAUUUGUGGUUAAGUGCUCUACAUGUCAGUAAGUUAAGAUUAAGAUCAGAAGUCUAGUGGGUCCAUCCAGGAGUUCAGUAUUCCUACUUGGAAGUGGGAAGAAGUGAACAUUGAGUGAUAAGUUUACCUCGUACUCUUCACCAGCAUGACUCAGUUUGGUCAUUGAAUAUAGGAUGACCAAAUCAGCUUAUUUCCUUCCAGUUCAUACAAUGACCAAAUCAGCUUAUUUCCUUCCAGUUCAUACCUCUUAUUCAGCCGAGGAUUAUGCCAGACUCUAUAUUAGGGAGUUGAUCAGAUUGUACGGUGUUCUAUUAUCUAUUAUCUCAGACAGAGGUACCCAGUUCACCUCUUAUUUCUAGAAAGCAUUCCAAAAGGGUCCUGGUACCCAAGUUCAUCUUAGUACAACCUUUCAUCCCCAGACAUAUGGUCAAGUAAAAAGGACUAUUCAGACUCUAAAAGACAUGCUAAGGGUAUGUGCAAUAGAUUUCAAGGGUAGUUGGGAUGAUCACUUGCCUUUGAUUGAGUUUACAUAUAACAAUAACUAUCAUUCUUGUAUUCAAAUCCUCCAUUCAAAGCUCUUUAUGGUAGGAGAUGCAGGUCUCCAGUCAUUUGGUCUGAAGUUAGUGAGGCCUUAGUUAUAGGGCCUGACUUAGUAUUCGAUACCUUAGAAAAAGUCCAGUUGAUCAGAGAAAGACUCUGGGCUGCUCAGAGCUGACAGAAUUCUUAUGCAGAUGUGCAUAGAAAGGAUUUAAGUUUGAUAUUUGUGAUUAUGUCUAUCUAAAGAUCUCUCCCAUGAAGAAAGUGAAGCGGUUUGGCAAGAAGGGAAAGCUCAGUCCCCGAUAUGUCGAUCCCUUCAAAAUUCUCAGUCGUUUUGGUAGGGAAGCUUAUAAGCUCAAGUUUCCUUCAGAUCUGGCCUCAGUUCAUCCAGUCUUCCAUGUCUCUUUGCUCAUGAAGUGCAUAGAUGACCCGGUAGUCGUAGUCCCUAUUCAGAGUAUAGAUGUUUAAAAACAGCCUUUCUUAUGAAGAGAUUCCAGUCGAAAUCCUAGAUUAUCAGACUUGUAGACUAAGGAAUAAAGUAGUCCCUAUAGUCAAGGUUCUUUGAAAAAAUCAGUCCAUUGAGGGAGCUACUUGGGACUGGCUGUCAUUUCGGCCAACCCUGUGGCCAAUUCAGCUGCAACUAGGAUUUGGGACUUCACUUGAAUAAACCCUCCAUCUUUUUUUAGGUUUAGAUGAGGACCUUCAGGAAUUUCUUGAUCAGGUUCAAAAGGUUACCGACAUCAUGGGGGUUACUCCUAGUGAGAGUGCUCAGCUAGCUACAUAUCAGUUAUAGGAUAUUAAUUACUCUUAGUUCAAAUAGUGGAAAUCAUAAAGGUCAGUUGAUGUAGGAUCCAUAGAGUGGGAGAAGUUUUUCACCAUAUUCCUAGAGUGGUUCUUUCCCCUAGAGUUGAGAGAAGCUAAGGUAUUAGAAUUUAUUAACCUCAGGCAGGGUGAUGAUGAAAGAGAAUUCUUUUAAGUUUACUGAAUUAGCCAGAUAUGCUCAUCAUAUGGUUGCAGAUAGCAGGGCCAAAAUAAGUAAGUUUGUCUCAGGGAUAAAAGAUAGUAUGGUUAACGAGUGCAGGUCUAUAAUGUUGAAUAGUGGCUUAUGACCCAUGCUUAAUAAAUAGAAGAGAAAAAAAUGAAGGUGGGGGAGAAGUAGAAUAAGAGAGCAAGGACAGGUAGUUUCAACUUUGCUCAGCCUAAGUCUGAGGGAGAAAACCAUUCUCAGUUCCAUCCUAAAUCAUCAGUUCCAUCUUUUUCUUUAGCCAGUGCUCCAGCUCCUAAGUUUAGGGAUGGUAAUAGAGAUAGGGCGCCAGGCUCUAAGUCUUAAGGCAGUGUUUGCAAUGCCUGAACUAAUCCCCUUUGUCAUACUUGUGGUAAGAACCACAAGGGUGUGUGUAGAGCUGGAAGCAAUGUCUAUUUUGGAUAUGGCAAGCCACGCCACAAAGUAAGAGAUUUUCCCUAAUCAGGUUAUCAGGGUCAGCAGAACCAUUCCUCAGAUUAGUCCGGUCCCCCAAAUCAAUAGGGUGCCACUUCCAGUGCUACUAGUGGGUAACGCCCAAAUCGACUUUAUGCUGUCCAAUCCUAAAAGUAUCAGGAAAAUUAUCUUGAUAUCGUUACUGGUACGUUACAGAUCUUUCACUUGCAUGUUUACGCUUUGCUAGAUCCAGGAGCUUCUUUGUCUUUUGUUACUCUUUAUAGAACAUUUGAUUUCAUAGUCAGUCUCAAAAUUCUAGUAGAGCCCUUCUAAGUAUCUACCUAGUGGGUAAAACUAUCAUAGCCCAACGAGUAUACAGGAUCUGUCUGGUUUUGGUAUCUCACAAAAUCACUUCAGCAAACUUAGUCAAAUUAGAGAUGACUAAUUUUGAUGGCAUUCUGGGCAUGGAUUGGCUUCAUUCCUUCUAUGCCAUAGUCGACUGUAGAAAUAGAGUUGUCCAAUUUCAGUUUUCGAAUGAACCUAUCCUAGAAUGGAGGGGUAGUACUUCAGCUUUUAAAGGUAAGCUUUUUUCCUACCUUUGGCCAUGGAAAAUAAUAUAUAAGGGAUGUGUCUAUCAUCUUUUUUGAGUUAAGGACACUAGUUCCAAAAAUCCCAGUCUUGAAUCAGUCCCAGUCAUUAAUGAAUAUUUGGAUUUCUUUCUCUAAGAUCUUCCAGAAUUCCUCUCAAAAGGGAAAUGGACUUUGACAUUGAUCUCCUUCCAGAUACUCAUCCUAUAUCUAUUCUACUAUACAGAAUGGAACCAGCAAAACUCAGAAACUUAAAGAAAUAGUUGAAGGAUCACAUAGACAAGGGAUUCGUUAGACCUAGUAUGUCCCUAUGAGGUGCACCAGUCUUAUUCAUGUGGAAUAAAGAUGGUUCUCUCAGAAUGUGUUUAGACUACCGUCAACUCAAUAAAUUCACGAUCAAGAACAAGAAUCCACUUCCUAGAAUCGAUGACUUGUUCGAUCAACUUCAGGGUGCCAUCUAUUUUUCUAAGAUAGACCUCAGAUCAAGCUAUCAUCAGCUCAGAGUCAGAGAAUGUGACAUUCCAAAAAUAGCCUUUCGUACUCGGUAUGGUCACUUCGAAUUCUUACUUAUGUCCUUUGGUCUUACCAAUGCCCCAGAAGCUUUCAUGGACUUGAUAAACCGUGUGUUCAAGCAGUAUUUGGACAUGUUCAUCAUUGUCUUCAUAGAUGACAUCCUUGUUUAUUCCUGCAGUGAGCUUGAUCAUGCAGACCAUCUCAGAAUAGUAUUACAGAUUCUCCAAAAUCAUCAGUUAUUUGCCAAAUUCAGCAAGUGCAAAUUUUGGCUAAGAUCAAUAGUAUUCCUUGGUCAUAUUAUUUUUGGUGAAGGCAUUAGGGUCGAUCCACAAAAGAUCGAAGCAGUAAAAAAUUGGCCUCGCCAUGUCUCUCCAUCAAAUAUCAGGAGUUUCUUGGGUUUGGAUAGCUAUUACCGAUGGUUGAUUGAGGGAUUUUAUUAUAUUGCAUCCCCUAUGUCCUGAUUGACUCAGAAAAAAGUCAAGUUUCAGUGGUUAGAUCCUUUCGAGAAGAGUUUUUAAGAGUUGAAGACUCGGCUUACCUCAGCUCUAGUUUUGGCUAUUCCAGAUGGUUUUGAUGGGUUCAUAGUGUAUUGUGAUGCAUCUAGAGUAGGUUUGGGUUGUGUCCUCAUGCAGCAUGGUAAGAUCAAAGCCUACGCCUCUAGAUAGCUUAAACCCCAUGAGAAGAAUUAUCCUACUCAUGAUCUCGAGUUAGUAGCCAUAGUUUUUGCCUUGAAGAUCUGGAGGCAUUAUCUAUACAGAGUUCAUGUAGAUGUGUUCACAGAUCAUUAGAGCCUUCAGUAUGUUCUUUCUCAAAAAGAUCUCAAUCUUCGCCAGAGGAGGUGGUGAGAGCUAUUGAAAGAUUACGACAUGACUGUCCUUUAUCAUUCGAGAAAGGCCAAUGUGGUGGUCGAUGCUCUCAGUAGACUGUUUAUGGGUAGUGUUGCUCAUAUUAAGGACAGUAAAAAGAAGUUAGCUCAGGAAGCCCAUCAGCUUGCCUGACUAGGUGUCUGCCUAGUUGAUUCUUCAGAGGGUAAUGUAUGGGUUCAGAAUAGUCCAGAAUCAUCUCUAGUUUUUGAGGUGAAAGAAAAGCAAGAUAGAGAUUCCAUUCUAGUCAAGUUAAAAGAGUCAGUCAAGUAUCAGAAAGUAGAGGUUUUUAACCAAGGUGGAGAUGGUGUUCUGCGUUGUUAGGGUCAUCUGUAUGUUCCUGGUGUAGAUGACUUAAGGAAGCAAAUUUUAGUAGAAGCGCAUGGUGCACGUUACUCUAUUCAUACAGGGGCCACAAAGAUGUACCGCAACUUGUGGGAGGUCUAUUGGUGGAGUGGGAUGAAGAAACAUGGUGCAUUAUUUGUUGCUAAGGGCUCUACAUGGUAUCAAGUUAAGAUUGAGCAUCAGAAGCCUAGUGGGUCCAUGCAGGAGUUCAGUAUUCCUACUUGGAAGUAGGAAGAAGUGAACAUGGACUUUGUGAUGGGUUUGCCUCAUACUCUUCGCCAGCAUAAUUAGUCAGAAAAGAACACUAGUAUUGUGUUCCCCUAGCUUCUUAACUCAGUAUGCUUAUCGUGCUUUAUUGAACCAACACAAUACCUUGCAUGUAGAAUUUGAGAAGCUAUGUACUAUCAAUUGUCUUGUGGAAUCAUUGAAAGAUUUCAUCCUUUACCUUAUAAGUCUCAAGACGUCAUAUUACUAACCUAAUCCAAUAUCCAAGUUAACUAUUAACUCCGGAGUCUCAAGUUAUUAUAUAAUAGAUAACUGUCAUACAUAUAUGAUACUAAUUAGCCUAGAUCGAUAAUUAAUCUUCAAAUUGCUAUUGCAACUAUAUUUUCCUAGUCAAUACUCCUUUUGUGGAGUAAGUAGUGAUAUGCUAGGAAGGAUGUUACUAUUUGCAACAACUAAGACAUCUAUUAAAUUGAAGAUAAUACAAUACAUACAAGAAUACUUGUUUAGAACAACUUAGCACUUCUCCUACUUUGUCAAUAUGCCAAGGUUCCCACAACCCUAGCUAAGGGCUUUAGCCACUCAUACUUGUGAAAUGAUAAACAGAAUUCAUAAGAAAAAGCAUUAUGCAAUAUCAAAAUGAUCAACAAGUAAAACCCAAAGUCAGCAACUGAAUUAUCAACCAAAAAUAAAGAACAAAGUAAUUCCAAGAUCAAAAUCGAAUCUUAGAAACAAAUAUAUGUUUGUAAGUAUUAAGAAUGCAUAAACUAACUAAAAAUGUCCAAAGGGUAUUUAUAGGAUACAAGGAAACCCUAAAAAUCAAAAUCCAAAUGAAAAAGGAAAAUCAAGGUCGGUGACCACUUACUAAGGUCACCUACUGACCGUAGGUGGUCCUUGGUAAGUGACAGACCUUCUGCACAACUCCUGAAGCUCUCUAGACUUGGUCCUCUGACACUUACUAAGGUUACCUAUGGAAAGUAGGUGACACCUACGGACCAUAGGUGCCCUUGGUAAGUGACAAGGUCUUUUUUCCUGCUUUUGAGCCUCUAGACUUCAAGUUCUGACACCUACUUUUGGUCACCUAUGCUCGAUAAGUGGCACUUAUGCCCAGAAAUGCCUGGGUAAGUAGUCUAAAACUUCAACUUUCAACUUAUUCUUCAGUUUCAGCUUCCAAAUUUGGUUUCUUGCAAAACAUACCAGAAAAACAUCUUCUCUCAUAAAACAACCUAAGAAACUUGAAUAUUUUCAUCAUUUUAAGCAUCGAAAGUUCUAUAAAUCCAUAGCAUAUCGACACCGUCAAAUUAGAAAGUUUGCAUGUCCUUAGGCAACACAACAAAACAAAAUAAAAACACGACUCUUAAAUAAAAGAAUCUAAGGUAUCAAAGGUAGUCAAUCAUCACAUUAAGCUCAAACACAUUACCCCCUUCCUAUAUAAAUAAUUUAAAAUUGUGUGUAAACAUGAAGAACAACAGUGUGACACAAGGGAAUCAAGGUAUGGCAAUUACAUUAGAAACAGACAAUCAUGCAUAUUUACAAAUUACACUACCCAGACAAGUAAGUAGAUAGCAACACAACCCAUGUUUACUCAAAACAAAGAAGUCCCAAGAAUUCCCACUCACUUAUAUGGAAUAAUGCAUGUCAAUGUAGGGAUAGUCAAGAGACACUCUCACUCAUAAGAGAAGUUCCACCAAUGCACAUCAAAUACCAUAGGCUUUCCCUUAUUUUGUUUACCUAAGUUUUCAGAUAGUCAAGUUAGGAUCACUAUAGGACUUUAUUCAGCUUGUAAUGUAAGCUUGGGGGCUGGUAUGGUACAUAUGGAUAUAUCAAGUGACUAAGCCUCCUUGGCAGUACACUUACUUUGGGGUCCAUACUUUAACAAAUUUCCUUUUAUUCCACCCUCAUUUCUCCUUUUUUAUUAUUUUGAUUGCACCUCCAGGUUAGGUGUGGUUUCUUUUAUUCAUUUCUCUUUUUUUCUACCAUACCCAACGUUACUAUCUUUUCCCUUAUUUUACCCUUCUUCCUACCCACUUUACAUUACACACCCCGAUGAUAGCCAUCCUUAACUUAGGUGAUUUGACUGAGUUGAGGUGAACAAUAUCCAAGGAGGACCAGGGCCAAAAUAGGUUCAUCAUAACACAAAUGGGAAAGUGAAAGAUGUAACAAGAAAAAUAGGCUAUAAGGCUAAAAAAUUGGGAUCAAAGGAUACUUUUUCACAAAUGAAGAUCAUUUAGGCUAAAAGUGUACUAAUAUAAAAAAUGUCCUAUGAUCCUCUCCUAACUGACUAUCCUACAACCUAUGCAAGACUAAUCGGACAAUUUUUGGAUUUAGUACACAAAGGGAACUAAGUAGCAUCUCAAACAUAUAUGGCACAAAGUCAUAGCACAAGAUACUACCUAUCUCGUAUCAUGUCCCUAAACCUAAUGCCAUAUCAAGAUCCGCAAUGGUCACACAUAUAUACAUUCAUACAGAUCUAAAAAUAAAAUUUUAGUGGGGUAUCUUUUUUUUAAAUAUCAAUAAAAAAAUAUGUCAAAUGCCCUAGAUACUAAAAAAUCCCCUAAUUACACAAAACAAAACUCAAUUCAAAGCAAAACACAAUACGACACAAAUUUAACCAAGACAUGUCGGUUUUAGAAUCAUACCACAACCUAUAGGAAAAGAAGCACGAUAAAAAAACACAUGGAGGUAUGGUAUACCAUACCCCCAACUAAAAGAAGCACUGCCCCCUGUGCGUAUAAAUAGUACAAAGCAAGGGAAUGAGGACAUACCUGGGACGCACUAGGCAUCCGUGUCAUGAUCGUCCCCAAAUAAGGCUAUCUGGACUGGCAGAGGUGAUAGUAGUGGUGAUGCACUAUUAGAAGAUGCACCCACAGCUAACUCGGCAUGCCUCUACCUAUCAACCAUUCCAGUCUCCUAUGAAUCAAUUGUAGCCCUUUUUAGGGCCUAAUAAAAUAGAAUACGAGGAUCUGUAGGUCCCUCUCUCGGACUCUAUUGGCCCCAACUAUGAGGACCUAUCCAUUAUUCUAUGCAAUUAAGUCAAAGUGUGUUGGCCUAGGUGGAGGUGUCGACUGAAAAAAUAAGGCCACAACUGGAGAGAUGGAUGACAUAUGGCUCUCAGUAAGAGAACGUACCUUUGCUCUAAGUACAUCCACCUCUUCAAUAAUAUCUCCUAGAUCUGACAUCUCUAUGCUACUAAACUAGGUCGAUACUUAACCCUUAAAAGUGUCUAUAUGUACAUGCAACUCAUCUCAUAGGUAUAAUAUCAUAAUUCAUUGUGUAGACUCUAACCUAGACUCAGCCAUCUCUAGUGUAGUCUAGACCCAUGGCCAGAUCUGCCCAUAUAAAGUUUUCACCUCGGUCUAAACAUUUUGUAUCUGAGUGUUAGUGAUGCUCUAACUGUCUACUAAGCUCUAUAAAAUCUUAUGUUAAACUAACAUCAUACCUGAAGCAGUAGUUGAAGUGGAUGGGUGAGGGAGUACUGAAGAUGAACCCACCGGCUCUGAAGUAGAAGUCGAGGCUGAUGUAGAUGUAGUUGGGGUCCCCUUACCCUAUGUAGUCAACUUGGGGGCCUCUCUCUUCUCCCUUAGAUCAAACUCUAUCCUAACUCCCUCAUCACCUCCUUGUGUAUCACUAGGCUUCACAGGUCCUGAUGGGCCCUCAUUCUAGUCCCAAGGUACUAUAGUGGGUACAUGGAGUCUCCUAGAAAGGAUCGGACUUGUGGGAUCCUUUAUCAUCUUAGUCUAUUCCACGACUGUAUCCUCUACUAUCUCAUCAACACAUGGUACCUCUAGCACACCGGCCUCAUCACAUAACCUCUAGACAAGAUAUGGGAACAGCAAAAUCAUUGUCUUACCAAAAGCUCUCUUGAUCGCAAUCAGUGUAGCUUUAUCCCAAUUUAAUAAAUUAUCUGCAGCAGUUGGAAAUAAUUUAUAUUGAAAAAGAAACCACCAAAACUUCACAGUAAAAGUCAGUGUCGCCCUUUUAAUCAUACCCUCCCCCUCGAUCUAAGUGGUAUCAGCACCCAGAGAUUAAAUAUAGCUGGAGAUCCAUCUCACCAUCUAAACUUUCUCUCUCUCAUGUGUUUAGCAUCAUAUAUAAUGUGUUUGUCUCUUACAACUCUCAAUCUAUAAUCUUACAACUCUCAAUCUAUAAUCACACUAUAUGAUGGAUGCUCGAGAAACAUAAUCUGUCUAGAAGAGAACUCGAUAGAUGGCUGUUGCUAAAAUGCCAACCAUAAACCCUCUCAAAAGAGUCUACUCUAGCUGAGGCUACUUAGCAUACCUUAAAAGACCCUUACCUCUAAGUGUAGUCAAAGAUACUAUGGUCUGGUAUAAGGCAUAGAAUUCCCACACUAAUAUUAGGUUGUAUGAACCUAGGGGUCAAGUUAUCCACCCCAAUUGAUACCUAUCAAAUGCAGCCUACAACAAUGGUGCUCUAGCCAACCCGGAUAAAUCAAUUUGUUUAUCCUCAUAAAUAGGCCUCUUGGGCCAGCUGAUAUCGUUCAUAAAACUAUCUCACUCAUACAGUAGCCAAAGCCCAUCUACACAUCAUCUCAGGUUUACCUUAUUAAUAGGCUCUGUCAAGACAUGUGUAGGUUUAGACAUAUGGUCAUGCUGAGCUGCUACUCUAAAUUAGGAGUUGUCACCUGGUGUGAAGACUAGUUUGUACCCUUCUUAGAUUGGGGUACAACUGGUGGCUUCUUCUGAACUAUGGUACCCUCCUUGGACUGGGGUACUACUGAUGACUCCUCCUGAACUGCGGCCUCAGAUUUAUCCUCAUCAUGUGACCUCUUCUUAGACUGGAGGUUGAUCUUGGGUGUAUUUAUACGCCUAAGCACCAUAAUUUAUUCAUAUUUUAGCUAAGUUUAGAGAACAAAGUGCCUAAUUUCUUAUGUUUUUACUCUACUUCUAUGUAAUUGAGCUAACCGAUGUGGUUAUCAUAAUUUCAGGUAUUAAUGAGGUAGAUGAAGACAUAAUGGGACUAUGGAAUGCGGAUGGCAUAUGACACAAGAGAGAGUAGCAAUCUGGACCAAAUGUGGCGUCUAGAAACUAUGUCCAAGACUAAUUUGUCAUUUAUAAUUAGUUCAGGGACUUAGAAGGAAAUUAUGAGAGAAGAGAUUAUUAAAAGACUUAAUUGCGGAAUUUUUAUUCAUUAUUCAUUAUUCUGUAUUAAUUUUUAAAGAGGAAGAUUGGCGUCUUAGCUUGAGGAGAGGGAGAAACAUUUCUUCUCUCAUACUUUCACUAUCGCACACCAAGAUCAUCUUCUAGUUUUUGGUAUGAUGAAUAUAUUUAUGUUGAUUUUAUUUUUAUUCAUGAGUAGCUAAGUUUAUUAGUUAGGGUUAUGGAAACCUUGUAGCAUACAAUCUAUCACUUUGGGUUUUGGAUUCAUUAUGUAUUGAUUAGUUUACAUCAUACUCUCUUUACUUAUCUUGAAUUCUCGUGGUUGCAAACAUAGAGGAUAUGCCUUAAAAUGCAACUUGUUCAAAAGAAAGGUUGAUGUUUUGAAAAGAGAGUAGUGACAAGAAAAUAGGAUUACCAACCCAUAUUUCAUAAGUUAAUGCCUUAGCAGGAUUAACUACUUGGAGAUUUCAUAUUAUUUUUGGUAAAUACUUUUGAUUCGAGAGAACUAAAGUAAAUUAGUCCUUGACGGUUGAGAAACACUUGGAUUAUGUUAUUAAAUACAAUAUGUUUCUCUGUAAACAAGAUACAUGUAUGAAUUCGUAAAGCCCAUAGUUAGGAAGUAUUGAAAACUACAAGGUGGACAUAACCCUAGCUUGUUAUUUCUCUGAAUUUGAAUACUACUACACAGAUUUCUUCUCGUUAAACUGAAACCAUUAAUUUGUGAACUGAAUCAAACCCCUCUAUUUAUUUUACGAAAACAAAAGAUUAAAAGUCAAUUAAUCUACAUAUAACUCAAUUAGCACCAUAUUCCCUAUGGUAUUCGACCCCAACCUAGUUGGGUUAUAUAUUUGACGACGACUGCAUACUCUCUCGUAAGAGAGAUGUAAUUUGAGCAUUAUCAGAGGUCUUAUGAAUCCACCUCUGGUGAUGGCUCUACCUCUCCCUCUUCCUUAUUAUGAUCAUCAUCACCCUUAAUAGGAUGGGGAGAGUAUGGUGGUGAUCUCCUGGCUAACUUCACCCUUGGAAUAGAUAUGAACUGGAUAGCCUCAAUUUGGGUCCUAGGAUAGGUAAAAGUAGGUCUUCUUCCCCACUGUGAUUUGUCUGCAAGUGGUACUCCCAAUUUUUCCAUGAUAAAAGCCUCAUCUACAGCAUGCUUUUAGCCUCUAACCACUGGCCGUGUCACUCUAUUUAAGGGUUGCUCUAGUUUGGGAAGGUAGGUACUUCUUCUCUGAGCUACUUUUCUCAAAAGAGUCAUCCUGUCACCUCGAAGGUGCAGCCUUUUUCUUUAAGGCAUUUGGGCUGAUGCGUACCUGAAAAAUUAAGUGUUAUUGUGCGAAAGAUAGUGAGGGACUGCAAAAUUUGAACAAAAACUCAAAAUUCAAAAACUUCAAAUUUCUCCUAAAUUUUGGCAUCCCUAUAACUUAUACUCAGUCCCAGCAAGUCUAAUAUGCACAUAUUCAACUAGAAUCAACUUUGCAAUAGAAACUAGUAUUCAAAACUUUUGAUAUUCCUCUACCUUUUCAAAUUCAAUUUUCAUUUUGGGAAAGAUCUUAAGGUUUAAUUAGAGAACAAUGCCCACAUUAAAAUUUUAGGCUAAUUCAAGGCUCCUUUAUACAAGAAUGAUGGUUUCUAUGCAUUUUGCAUGAGAAUAGACAUACAAACUUACUUAUUUCAUGUUCAACACAAGAUACUACUAUUAGGGGCCAAGAAUAUUACCUUUUAUUCGAAGAACCGGAAAUGAACUAUGAAUAAGUGAAGUAAAACCAAAUCUUGAACGCGUACGUAGUGCUUUUGGGAAAGUUGGUACCAAGAACAAGUAACCUUUUAACCGUUUCUCAAGUGAGGGGAAGUGGGGCAGUUUUUAAUGUGAGAGAUAAGAAAGAACUUUGAGGUUUUAAGUGUUAAAAUGGAUUAAGAGGGCUUAAAUAUGCAUGAGGGGUCAAUUUAGGGUUAUUUUAAGUCAAAGUUAGCCCAAAAUGUUAAACAAAAAAUGGGCCCAAAACUUGGCCACUUACCGAAGCCACCUAAGAGCCACAGGUGGUACCUAGGUCUGUAGGUUUCCACUAUAGGUGGGACCUAAUUUUUGCCUUUGUUCUUUGUUCUCUGGACCUUGAAUUCUAAUACUUACUUUACUACUUACUAUGUUGUAGGUGGUAUUUACAACCUUGUAAGUACGUUCGUAGGUUAAAGUCCAGAAUUUCCCUAAAAAAAUCACAAAAUUCCAACUUUGCAGUUAAUGCAUAACUUACUUGGCCCACAUGGGACUUGUGACCUUGCCGAAUUGGUCACAGCAUCCCCUUAUCUGGAAUAUUCUAAAUUAAAGAUGUUUUACCACAUUCCAGGUCACUUUUCAUAGAAUUAAACCUACAAAAAAAAAAA